ACAUUGUCACGCCCCGCCCCGAAACCACUACCAAUUUGGCACGGUUCGGCCGCGGCGGCGUGUCACGCCCCGGGACCGGCAGAGGCCCUCCCGGUAGCGUGCCCAGACCCGCCAUAUGUCUACACAUAUAAGGCGUCUAGAAGAAAAGCGGAAGUAAAAGCAAGAGACGGAACAAAUAAGAAAAGUGAAAUAACAAGCAACUAAUGAUAUCAGAGCGAGUAAAGUACUAACAUCUACACCAAAGUAUAGAAAUAAAGCUAGACAAUAAUAGGAACAAUAAGUAGUACAAAAACUGCCUCAAGUACAAAAAUGGUGGCCUCUAUACAUAUACGGGUACAACUCUCAACCUCUCACAAAAAGAAAACACGAGAGGUAGACCACCUAUCGAACAAUCCCUCGGUAACCACGCUAGCCCGAGGCGAUACCCUUUCCGCGAUCCCUGGCCUCUCCCUGCGUGGAAGGCUCUGAAAACAUCGAGAAAAAGAGGGCGUGAGAACUAUAAUUUAUAGUUCCCAGUGGGCAAUUACUGACCUCAGCUCCUACUCCACUAGGCCCCAAAAAUAGGGUAAGUAAUGCUAAUAGCAAUAAGCGAUAAAAAGGAGCAUGUAAAUAAACUGCUGAAAGAGAGAGCAUAAAUAAAAUGCUAUACUACAAUAUCUCACAUAAGCACGAUGUCAAAAUGUGGUACAUCUAUUCUAUCAUAAGGAAAAGUGACCAAUGGCAAUAGUUUACUGUCACAACCCUUUAUUCAUACAUGAUGUAUAGGCUCUAUCAUGGCAGCCAAGUAUACCGUGAUGAAAUAGGUAACUGUCAAGUAUACUACAUGUCUCAACCCUAUGCUAUAUGCAUGUAAAUGUAAUCCAACUACUAAACCUAUCUAGUAGUGAUUGUUCAUUCUCAAACCGUGUCGAUUUCCAUUUCCAAUUAGGGACCUACCCAAGGUAGUCCAGCUUGUGCCGCCUAAGUGCCUGUGGUAGCCCGACAUUCCUACACAUGGAAUGUGUCUGUCCCACUCGACCCCGUAGGCUUCUCGAUACCGCACGAGCGAACAAAAGUCGCGUAGGCUAACUCCGGAGUGCCGGCUUGUAGGGAGCGACCCUCACAAGCAUGUGCGAAUGAGCACAAAUGGCAAGCAAGCAUAGUCCAAGUCUCAAGUAUCCAAUCCUCAUGUCUCUAACAUGGUAUAGUCACUAGUAUCCCGAAGAUCUAGUACUAAGUCACAAAUGAAGUUCCAACGUUCUCUAGGUCUAGUGCCCCUUUAUGACACUUAGACAUUUAAUGUUUAAGCAUGUUCCACAUUCCUUAAUGACCCUAUCCACUAGGUUCUCACAUGUCCCGAGCUCAAUGCCGCUUGAUGACAUUAGCUCACUAGUUCGCAUACCUUCUAAAAUGGCAAUCUUGUCAUCUUUCAUGUCACAAGUGAACUCAAGUUUAAAUGCAUGAAUCCGAACUCAAUUACGCUAUAGAAGUAUGAAACCAAGUCUCAUGAAGAAUGCUAAAUGCAACCAUAGAUCCCCCAAGCAACUCUCUACUACAUAGAGGUCCAAAAUUUUAUUUUACAUAACAUAUGCAUUUUAAGCAUUCUAAAAAUCGUAAUAAAUACAAUUAGGAUGAAUAUGCAUGCUUUUCCAAUUUACGGAACAUAUAUAACCAUAAAUGAGAAUUUCUCAUAAGUAGGCUAGGUCAAACCCACCGAACCGUCGCGUAGGGCCUCGUUUCGCCGAACAAAGUUGUCCCCGAGUCUCAAAAUACCCUAAAAGUAAUCAGCGAAGAGAUACGAGGGCAUUACGACCAUCAUAUAAUGUCAAACAUUAACCUAGAAGCAAAAAGGGCCAAAACUAACCUCAAGAGUAGAAAUCUCUUCCAAAGCUCCAAAAGAGAGCUAGAACCCUUCCAAUCCAAGCUCAAGGAAGGUUCUAAACCAAUCAAUCAAGCCUCAAAAGCCCUAGGUUCAAAAAAGCCCAAAAUAAACCCUGAGUCUCAAAACUAGGGUUUCAAAACAAUAAAGCCUCAAAUCCAAGGUCUAGAUGGAGAGAAAGGGCUACCAACCUCAAAGAGGCUUCAAUCCAAGCUCAAAGGAUGAAGAUCUUCUCCUUUGCAAGCUCCAAAUCCAAGCCUUCAAGCACCAAGGAAGAUGAGAGGGUGAGGAAGAUGCUCCAAGUCCACUAGUAGCUCCAAACUUCUUCUCCUUCCCUCCUUCUUCUCCUUCUCCUUCUUCUUCUUCUUCUCUAUCAAGGGUGUAGAGAGGGUUGUGAGAAGAGAAAUGAGGAGAAGAGAGGGUGGAGGGGUCAUAUAGACCCUCUAAUGUAACAAAAUCCAGCCAGUCCCCUCAAAAAUCCAAUAUUACCACAGCCCGGUCUGGGCAGUUUUCGCCCAGAGGGACCGGUCUCUCGCUGCGUACCCGAAAAACCAGCGUUCGGGAACCGGUCUCUCCCUGCGCGGGACCGGUCUCUCACUGCGUAGAAGCGCUCGGGGACCGGUCUCGCCCGCCAGGGACCGGUUGCCUCAGGGCUGCCGCAACACUGCUCACUGGGGGACCGGUCUCUCCUUUUAGGGACCGGUCCCCGAGAGUAAAAACUCUCAGAACUUGUCCAGAAUUUCAGUUUUCGAACUUUUUAGGUCGGAAAACAUUCUACAACCUUCCACCAAGUGUGGAAAAGCUCGAAAUACGUCCAAACACUCGAACAUCGCAAUUUGCAAAGGUCCAGUGUGUUACACGGCGGGCCGCCGAACGGACAGCUCCUCCCCUGUCCGCCCAAGGCUCAACAACAGGAAUGUGUAUAAGAAUUUAUCCAGGAAAUUAAAUUCUAAGCAUACACAUUCAAGAGGGCACAAACAGUGCCAACAAUACGAGAGCAAGCAAUCCACAAGGUAACAGGUGAAAUAAAGAGAGUACUUUACUAACUAUUACAAUAGUUCCAAUAUUCUCAUUUACAUCAUUUUCUUUAAAUGAAUACAUUUGUCAUCCAAAAUACGUAGCUCUCCAAAUCCUCACCUACAAUGAAUCUCUCUCUCAAUACAUAGGUGACUAAUGCAAAAAGGAAAGCUACUAUACUACCACGGUCUCACAGGUCGGGCGAGAUGCCCUUGCCGCGGUCCUCUCUCUGCAGCCCUGAACCUACCACUGGAAAUAGAGUGGGGUGAGAACUAUCUUCCAUAGUUCCCAGUGGGUUCGGCCGCCGACUCUGCCGAUCUCCCCACUAGGUCAAGUGGGCACAAGUAACAACAAAUAGAUAGAUAGAUAGAUAUGUAUCUGAAAGCUGUAAAUGCAAUAGUAGGAAAACUAUGCUACUAUGCCCAUAAUCAUGAAUAUGAAUGCAUGCAUCAUAUAAUAAAGGUUUACUAUCAUGCUAACAAAUUCGAUCCAUGUUCAAAUAGCAAUGUUCAAUGACAUUAGUAAACCUUUAACCUUUCCAAUUACCCAAUCUGUGGCGAGGCCCUAGGGCUCGCCCAUGACUCACCUUUCAAUCCCAAAGUGGGGAGGGUGUCACGCCCCGGGACCGAUACCAAUUUGGCCCGACCCGAGCACGUCAAACAGACGCCGAACGGACAGAGUUUCCCCUAUCUGCCCAAGGCUCAUCACAUGUACAUUUUCAUCAAUAGAGAAAAGCACUAGCGGAAACAUACACAAGCAGCUUACACGAAGGUAAGCAAUAGCCACAAGUGAAAGAAAAAGGAAACUAAACCUUUACAAGUACUAUGAUUCAUUUUUUAUCAUAUACAUUGCAUCCAUUUACAUUCAUGAUUCUUGUACUUCAUUACACAUUGCAUCAUUUCUUUCUUACAUCACAUUUACCUCAAAAUAAACUUUACAUUCUUUUCUCAAUAUCACUAGUCAUCAAAUACAAAUAUGAACAAAGGGUACUCUACCAACAAAAUGUAAACCCAACUCAACUCUGGUGGCCUCUGUCUAAGGCGCGAUACCUUUACCUCGGUCGCUCGCCGGCUCGCUCGGUCCCGGCUCUGUGGAAAUAGUGGGGUGAGAACUACAACAAAGUUCCCAGUGGGUUCGGCCUCAACAUCACCGACUUUCCCACUAGGACUAACUCAGGCAUAAUAGAAAGAAUAAGCUGCAUAUAGUAACCAAUCUAUACAUGAUGCUAAUAUGCCUGAACAAUAAAGCAGAAAUAUGCUCAACAUUAAAUAAAUGCAGAUUAUGCAAAUUCUUUGUUCUUUUCACGUUACUCUUUGUUCUUUGUUCUUUGCUCUUUGUUCUUUAUUCUUUAUUCUUUAAUCUCAAGGCUAACCCGGGGGUUUCGCCAUAUUAACUUGCUUCACAUUAAGUCCAUCAUCGCAGGAACUCACCCGCUAGGACCGUCCUUCGGGUUUACUCCAACCCGUGAUGCAUAACUCCGGAGCGCAUCGCCCGAGGGGUAGCGACCACCCUCGAGCACGGAACUCAUAGCAAGUAUGAUCAUAUCCUUAACUCAAAGGAUUUAUAAGUUCAAUCUUGACUUUACACUAGUUCUAGUGUCCUUCACAUCACUUUAUGUUGCAAACUCAUGCAAUCACAUUCUUUACAUUUCUCUACUCUUGCUAACUCUAGCAUUCUCGUUCGUUACAAUUCUUGUUCUUAUUGCCCCACUUUACUUUAACCUUACACAUUGUCAUUUUCAUCAUUCUUUACAUCACGUUAGUUCUUUGCAUCACACUAACUCUAGUGUCUCUUUACUUUACAUUUUCAAAUGCCACUCGAUCUACGUCAUAGUGUCACUCUGUUCUUUUACUCACUUUAGGUGCUCACUUUUCUCUCAUGCAUACACAUAGGGUUUUCGACGUUUACAUAGUUCUCAUUCAUCAUAUUAUGCAAGUUGUACUCACAAUCAUGCAACAUUACAUUUUCAUCAUUACUUUACCGUAAAAUGCAUGCAACAAUAUAUAUAUGCAUGCUCAAAUGAAUGACACAUUAGGCAUAGAGAGAAGUUCAAUGAGUUUGAGAAGCACCACCCACCUCGUAGGCUUUCAAAGGUGCUCCGAUGACUUUCUUGGGAUUUUUAGACCCUUCGUUCUUUACCUGCGGCAUAACGAAGCCAAAUUAGGCUUAUUUGGCCAUAACUUUACAUUGGCUUUUCGUAACAUUAAUCCGAGCGCACCAACGCGUCGGAAAUACCCCAAAUUAGGUUUCUAGUAGGUCAAUUGCACUUAGAAAUUCCUAUGAGCAAAAGCCCCAAUUCGGUGCCCUAGCUCCAAUACAUAUAUCAAACCUAGGGUUUGAUCUCAAAGAGAAGCAAAAAUAGCUUCAUUAUACUCUAAAAAGUCCAUUAGAACCAUCUUUAGACAAAUCAAAACCCUACUUAGGGUUCCACCAUGAGAGGUGAUGAAGCUCACCUCAAGCUUCACCAUUUCUAUGGUCUUGAUCUCAAAAGAAGCAAAAGAAAAGCUUCAAAUACUCAAAUGGUUCCAUAAAACCCAUUUUAAGCUUAAUCCAAACCCUAAAUUAGGUUCUACCAUAAUUAGGGUUCAAGGCUUACCUUGUAAGCUCUCCUUUUCCAAGCUAGAGAUGAGGGAGAGGGAGUUUCUUCACUACCUCUUCUUUUUCUCCUUUUUCUUCUCCUUCUUUUCCUUUCUUUCCUUGUCUUCUUCUUCUCCUUCUUUGUCUUCUAGAGAGAGAGAGGGAGAGGGAUGAGUUUGGGUGUGAGGGAAUGAGAGGGAGAGGCUCCCUCAGCCCUAAACAUGACCCACAUAAUGCAUUUUCGCAGAUAAGUCCCUCAGCUUUUAUCUCAUUACAUGGCCCGAACUGGGCAGUUCGCGCAGCCGGGGACCGGUCUCUCCUUCAGGGACCGGUUCCCGAAGGCUCUCUCCGCGCAGCCAGAGCUGCUGCGCGCAGGGCAACCGGUCUCUCUUUGGGGGACCGGUCUCUCGGGGACCGGUCUCUUAGGCAGGGACCGGUUCCCGAGAGCUAACUUCUCAGGACUUAGCCGAUUUUUCGGCUGUCUCACUUCAUACGCGUUCGGGGACCGGUCUCUCCCACCAGGGACCGGUCCCCGAGAGCUCAAAACUACAGAAUGCAGAUUUUGAUUCUAUAGCUCUCGAAAACCUCCCGUAACUCACUUUUAAUCAUUUUAACACCUUCGGACUUUUCGAAGUNUUUGCUGGGUAACAUCAAAAGCGAGGUUCUUCGCCGACUUCCUACUUAGUGCGUUCGCAACCACAUUUGCCUUUCCGGGGUGGUAGAGGAUAUCGACAUCAUAAUCCUUUAACAGCUCCAACCACCGCCGCUGACGCAUGUUGAGCUCUUUCUGUGUAAACAGGUACUUCAAGCUCUUGUGGUCGGUAUAGAUCUCACAAUGGGCACCAUAUAAAUAGUGCCUCCACAGCUUCAAGGCAAAAAUCACUGCCGCUAGCUCCAAAUCAUGAAUGGGGUAGUUCUUUUCAUAGCUCUUCAGCUGACGGGACGCAUAAGCAAUCACCUUCCUGUUUUGCAUCAAUACACANCACAAGGCGAUGCUCCUCCGCCUCCACAGGUUCCUCAGUCUGGACCUGAGCGGCGAACACCCGUCCGCUCGGGGCCGAUCGCGUCGUAUCAGGUUGACGCGGCAUCAUCCCGCGUCCAGUCGACGCGGCCGUCGGUGGAGCUCCUCCAUAGUGAGCCGGAAUCGCCGGCGCCGAUGCAAUCGAGGGGGCAGGUGAGGCUCCUCCUCCCGGGCAAUCUCGAAUAAAGUGCCCCGGCUGCCCACACUUGUAGCACUUGCCUCGGCCUUGUUCACAGCACGAAACCGGAUGGUCCCCGCCGCAUAUCAUGCAUCGCCGCACUCCACCGCCCUUCUGUUGAGUGCGCGCAUACUUCGAGGGUUUCUUGUAACGUGUCUGUCCCCCCGAACUACCGCCACCUUGGCGUUUCUUGCCCUUGUCCUUAGACUCGGCCAAAGCCUCACGCUUCUCCCGCACGUGGGCAUCUCCGUGCUCCGCCCAUAGGGCUCGGUCGAAGACCUACGCAAAGGUCGUGAGCUUAAGUAUUUGCACGGCCUUGUAGAUUCCCGGCCGAAGUCCUCGCAAGAACCACUUGGCCCGGUCCCGGCCACCUUUACAACAUCCGGGACACAAUCGAUAAUAUGGGAGAAUUUUUGUUCAUACUCCGCCACUGAGCGGUCCCCUUGUUCGAGCUUGCGGAACUUCUCCUUGAGCUUCCGCUUCAAUGUGUCGGGGAAAUAGUUGGCGAACAUCUCCCGCUUGAAUUCUUCCCACAGCAUCGGCGGAAGGCCGGAAAGCCGAUCCCGUCUAACGCGCUUCCACCAAACUUUCGCCGCCUUUUCCAAGCAAUGGGUGGCGAGAUACACCUUGUCCCUCUCCAAGGUCGAAAAUCGGGCGAAAGCACACAAGCGCACUCGUUCUAGGCUCUUGGUAUCAUGUCGUCGGCCGCCGACACAACCACCUCAAGACAAGAACUCAUACGACUUGAGUCCGUCUCUAAUCACAACUAGAGACAUAUACCAACUUCGACCCAAUCGAAUUAACUUCCGCCGUCGCUAUAGGUUCACGUUCCGCUCACGCACCUAUAACCUUAGGGCUUACCAACCUAGGGUCUCCUAGGUCAUCCUAGACUCUCUCUUUACUUGCUCUUAUUGCUCUGAUACCAAAACGGCUGUCACGCCCCCCCCCGAAACCACUACCAAUUUGGCACGGUUCGGCCGCGGCGGCGGGCCGCCGAACGGACAGCUCCACCCCUGUCCGCCCAAGGCUCAACAACAGGAAUGUGUAUAAGAAUUUACCCAGGAAAUUAAAUUCUAAGCAUACACAUUCAAGAGGGAACAAACAGUGCCAACAAUACGAGAGCAAGCAAUCCACAAGGUAACAGGUGAAAUAAAUAGAGUACUUUACUAACUAUUACAAUAGUUCCAACAUUCUCAUUUACAUCAUUUUCUUUAAAUGAAUACAUUUGUCAUCCAAAAUACAUAGCUCUCCAAAUCCUCACCUACAAUGAUUCUCUCUCUCAAUACAUAGGUGACUAAUGCAAAAAGGAAAGCUACUAUACUACCACGGUCUCACAGGUCGGGCAUGAUGCCCUUGCUGUCCUCUCUCUGCAGCCCUGAACCUACCACUAGAAAUAGAGUGGGGUGAGAACUAUCUUCCAUAGUUCCCAGUGGGCUCGGUCGCCGACUCUGCCGAUCUCCCCACUAGGUCCAAGUGGGCACAAGUAACAACAAAUAGAUAGAUAGAUAGAUAUGUAUCUGAAAACUGUAAAUGCAAUAGUAGGAAAACUAUNNNNNNNNNNNNNNNNNNNNNNNNNNNNNNNNNNNNNNNNNNNNNNNNNNNNNNNNNNNNNNNNNNNNNNNNNNNNNNNNNNNNNNNNNNNNNNNNNNNNNNNNNNNNNNNNNNNNNNNNNNNNNNNNNNNNNNNNNNNNNNNNNNNNNNNNNNNNNNNNNNNNNNNNNNNNNNNNNNNNNNNNNNNNNNNNNNNNNNNNNNNNNNNNNNNNNNNNNNNNNNNNNNNNNNNNNNNNNNNNNNNNNNNNNNNNNNNNNNNNNNNNNNNNNNNNNNNNNNNNNNNNNNNNNNNNNNNNNNNNNNNNNNNNNNNNNNNNNNNNNNNNNNNNNNNNNNNNNNNNNNNNNNNNNNNNNNNNNNNNNNNNNNNNNNNNNNNNNNNNNNNNNNNNNNNNNNNNNNNNNNNNNNNNNNNNNNNNNNNNNNNNNNNNNNNNNNNNNNNNNNNNNNNNNNNNNNNNNNNNNNNNNNNNNNNNNNNNNNNNNNNNNNNNNNNNNNNNNNNNNNNNNNNNNNNNNNNNNNNNNNNNNNNNNNNNNNNNNNNNNNNNNNNNNNNNNNNNNNNNNNNNNNNNNNNNNNNNNNNNNNNNNNNNNNNNNNNNNNNNNNNNNNNNNNNNNNNNNNNNNNNNNNNNNNNNNNNNNNNNNNNNNNNNNNNNNNNNNNNNNNNNNNNNNNNNNNNNNNNNNNNNNNNNNNNNNNNNNNNNNNNNNNNNNNNNNNNNNNNNNNNNNNNNNNNNNNNNNNNNNNNNNNNNNNNNNNNNNNNNNNNNNNNNNNNNNNNNNNNNNNNNNNNNNNNNNNNNNNNNNNNNNNNNNNNNNNNNNNNNNNNNNNNNNNNNNNNNNNNNNNNNNNNNNNNNNNNNNNNNNNNNNNNNNNNNNNNNNNNNNNNNNNNNNNNNNNNNNNNNNNNNNNNNNNNNNNNNNNNNNNNNNNNNNNNNNNNNNNNNNNNNNNNNNNNNNNNNNNNNNNNNNNNNNNNNNNNNNNNNNNNNNNNNNNNNNNNNNNGAAAGCUUCGGGAUGGCACCCCCCACCUUUAAUCGAUGUAGAGGCUUGGGAAAUCCUUCUCGGCGAACUUUACGAAAAGGCUUUAGCCUUCCUCGCCCGAAUCAACACUAACCCGGCCCGAUCUUGCCGAGAACUUCACGUCGGCUCGCCGAAUGCUAAAACCGACCUGGCCCCCACGUUUGUGACCUAACAAUAGGGUUUCCAAGGCUUCAAAUGAGAUCAAUCUCAUACUUUACAAAAUGCCCCCAUUUGGAGCCCUAGGUUGCACAUAUAGCAACCCACCAAUAAAACCCUAGAUUUCAUGGGAUUGAUCUACUUAGAAGCUUAUUUAGGGUUCAUUUGACCCAUUCCAAAGCAUAAAAACCCAAAACCCUAAGUUUUACAAGCUAGGGUUUGUAGCUUACCUCUUGAGCUGCACCAAUAGAGAGGAGAGAAAGAGAGGAAGAUGCUCCAAGCCUUCUCUAUCUUGUUCUCCUCCUUCUUCUUCUUCUCUUUCUUCUUCUCCUUCUCUUAUGUUCUUUCUUUCCUAGAGAGAGAGAGGAGCAAGAGAGAGUGUGAAAGAGAGAGAGAGAAUGAGAGGCUGUGAGGGAGAGAGAGAGGGCUUAGCCCACUCUAAUAAAGGCCAUUUUGCACAAAAAUCCCUCAACUUUUAAUCCUAUACGCUGCUCUUACUGGGCAGUUUUCGCGCGGAGGGACCGGUCUCCCCGAUAAGGGACCGGUCCCCGAGAGCUUUCCUCGGGCACACGCGUUCGGGAACCGGUCUCUCCCCGCGAGACCGGUCCUCAGGAGACCGAUCCUCGCCUGAGAGACCGGUCCCCGAGAGCUCGAUUUUCAGGACUUAGCCAAUUUCGGCAUUUCUCGCUGGGGACAACGUUCGGGAACCAGUCUCUCUCUGCCAGAGACCGGUUGCAUCAAGCAACCCUGUAACACCCUGCCAAGGGAACCGGUCUCUCACCUGCAGAGACCGGUCCCCGAGAGCAACAUCAGCCCAAUGAUGCUGUUUGCAUCGUUUGCUCUCGCGGACUCAACUCCAAAGCACUUUUUGUGUAUCGGACAUUUCCAACUCCCACAAAGGGUAUUCUCUCGACAAUUAGUCGAUCCUGAAUGAAGUACAAUCCUCGGAUUUCAAGAAUUCACUUCCUUACAUCCUCCCCUCCUUAAAAGGAGUUUCGUCCUCGAAACUAACUCAAUUCUUUAUUUUAAUUCAAAUUCGUACCUUACUCCUCAAAUAGAUGAGGAUGGUGUUUUCUCAUUAGAUCCUCGAGUUCCCAGGUGGCUUCGCGAUCAUCGUGAUUGCUCCACCUAACCUUCACAUAGGGGAUUUCUCGAUUCCUCAACUUUCGUACCUCUCGGGCAAUAAUCCCUACCGGAAACUCUUCAUAGCUCAAGUCUCCUUGAAGUUCCGGCGGUUCAUAUAGCAUUGCAUGCUCGGGGUCGUGAAUGUACUUGCGGAGAUUGGAGACAUGGAACACAUUGUGUACAUCCGCAAGCUUCGGCGGUAGAGCAAGCCGGUAGGCCACCGAGCCGACUCGCUCUAAUAUCUCAUAUGGCCCAAUAUAUCGGGGACUUAACUUUCCCCGCACUCCAAACCGCUUCACACCCCGCAUGGGUGAAACCUUCAAGAAUACGCGGUCACCCACUGCGAAUUCUAUAUCUCGACGGCGCCUAUCCGCAUAACUUUGCUGUCUUGACUGCGCCGUGAGCAAUCUCUUGCGAGCAAGGCGGACUUUCUCCUCCGCUUCUCGCAACACAUCCGGGCCGAACUCCGCACGCUCGCCAACAUCGCUCCAGUGUAUAGGAGACCGACACGUCCGCCCGUAAAGAGCCUCGAACGGUGCCAUCUCCACACUAGCAUGAUAACUGUUGUUGUAGGCGAACUCGGCCAUAGGUAGGUGGUCACACCAACUUCCCUUAUAGUCAAUGACACACGCUCGCAACAUAUCCUCCAGAGUUUGAAUUGUUCUCUCUGUUUGCCCAUCGGUCUGAGGAUGAAAUGCGGUGCUAAAAUCGAGCCGCGUGCCAAGGGCUCCUUGCAGGCUUUUCCAAAAGUGUGAAGUGAACCGGGGGUCACGAUCCGACACGAUCGAUUUCGGCACCCCAUGCAGUCUCACUAUCUCGUCGAGAUAUACCUGCGCUAACUUGUCACCUGACCACGUGGUGUGGAUCGGCAAGAAAUGAGCCGACUUAGUUAAUCGGUCCACAAUUACCCAGAUUGCAUCGUGGCCGCCCGUUGAGCGAGGCAAGCCGACCACGAAGUCCAUCGAUAUAUCCUCCCAUUUCCAAACGGGGAUUGGUAGGCUUUGAAGCUUUCCCGCUGGAAAUCGACGCUCUGCUUUCACUUGUUGGCACGUUAAGCACUUCGCCACAAAGCGCCCAAUAUCACCCUUCAUUCCCGGCCACCAAUAAUGCAUUUUCAAUCCUCGAUACAUUUUGGUGCCGCCCGGGUGAUCAGCAUACGGAGAUCUGUGUGCUUCUUGUAGAAUCAAUUCGCGAAGCUCUCCAUCUUUCGGCACACACCAUCGGUUUCUAAACCGAAGCGCACCAUCGGCGUUUAUACUGAAAUCGCCGCCACGCCCUUCCUCGAUGUUUCGCCGCACCUUUUGGAGCUCUGGGUCUGCGGGUUGCAGAUCUUUAAUCCUCUCCAACAAGGUCGGUUGGACAACGAGUGCCAUCAGCUGAGUCGGGACCUCGGGAGCGACCACUUCAAGGUCCAAUCGCUCCAUAUCCAGCCACAGAGGUGUUUGCUGGGUAACAUCAAAUGCGAGGUUCUUCGCCGACUUCCUACUUAGUGCGUCCGCGACCACAUUUGCCUUCCCGGGGUGGUAGAGGAUAUCGACAUCAUAAUCCUUUAACAGCUCCAACCACCGCCGCUGACGCAUAUUGAGCUCCUUCUGAGUAAACAAGUACUUUAAGCUCUUGUGGUCGGUAUAGAUCUCACAGUGGGCACCAUAUAAAUAGUGCCUCCACAGCUUUAAGGCGAAUAUCACCGCCGCUAGCUCCAAAUCAUGGAUGGGGUAGUUCUUCUCGUAGCUCUUCAGCUGACGGGAUGCGUAGGCAAUCACCUUCCCGUUUUGCAUCAACACACACCCCAACCCAAGAUAGGAGGCAUCACUGUAGACCACGAAGUCUUCGCCCUGCACCGGUAGAGCGAGCACCGGAGUCGAAGUCAACCUUUGCUUCAACUCCUUAAAACUCCGGUCGCACUCUUCGCUCCACACAAACUUGGUGCCUUUCUGGGUCAGGCGGGUAAGUGGAAUCACUAUUUUGGAAAAGCCUUCCACAAACCGCCUAUAGUAGCCCGCCAAGCCCACGAAGCUUCGAACCUCCGUGACAUUCGUCGGGCGCGGCCAAUCCUUGAUUGCCUCAACUUUCCUCGGGUCUACAGAAACUCCACCCGCGGAAAUCACAUGCCCUAAGAAGGCGACCUCGCGAAGCCAAAAGUCACACUUCUUCAGCUUAGCAUACAGCUUCUCCUCCCGAAGGACUUGAAGCACUAUUCUCAAAUGCUCGGCAUGUUCCUCGUCACUACGAGAAUAGACCAAUAUGUCGUCUAUGAAGACCACGACAAAUCGAUCCAAAUACUUCUUGAAGACACGGUUCAUCAAAUCCAUAAAUGCCGCUGGAGCAUUCGUGAGUCCAAAUGGCAUAACCGUGAAUUCGUAGUGUCCAUAUCGCGUUACGAAACGCAGUUUUCUGCACAUCCUCCGGCUGAAUCUUCAGUUGGUGAUAGCCGGAUUGCAAAUCUAUCUUUGAGUACACACACGACCCCUACAACUGAUCGAACAAGUCAUCGAUUCAGGGUAGUGGGUACUUAUUCUUGAUCGUUACUCUGUUCAAUUCUCGAUAGUCCACGCAGAGUCAGAACGAUCCGUCUUUCUUCCUCACGGACAACACCGGGGCUCCCCACGGCGAUACACUUGGCCGGAUAAAUUGCUUGUCAAGGAGGUCUUGCAGUUGACUCCUCAACUCCUUCAAUUCCGCCGGCGCCAUUCGGUACGGAGCCUUCGAGAUCGGUGCGGUACCAGGAACCAAGUCUAUGACGAACUCGAUCUCCCGAUCAGGUGGUAUCCCCGGCAACUCCGUGGGAAAUACAUCCGGGAACUCCCGCACCACCGAUAGCUCCUCUAACAUUGGAGCUACUCGUUCCACUUCCACAACAGUCGCCAAAAACGUCGUGCAACCGCUGUUCACUAACUUCCUUUCUCUCGUCGCCGACACCGUCACGACGAAGCACGAGCUUUGACAAGCCCGAUAUGUGAACUCCUCUUGUCCUGGCUCACGGAAUGUGAUCACCCUGCUCUUGCAGUCGAUCGUUGCGUGAUACUUCGAGAGCCAGUCCAUACCCAGAAUGACAUCGUAAGCCUCAAGCUUUGUGAGUUCUAGCGUCCGGAUAGGCAUAAUCCAGUCGCUUAUUUGUACUGGACAUGACGCACACUCCGAGUAGGUGUUAAACGUUGACCCAGGGCCCUCCACUCGCCACUUAUCGCUCGCUUCUAUGAGAAUGUCAUGCAUGCGUGCGAAUGAUCUACUUAAGAAUGAAUGCGUGGCUCCUGUAUCAAAUAAAGCCCUGGAGCGAACUCCGUUAAUUAAAACCAUACCUGCCACAAGGCGAUGCUCCUCCGCCUCCACAGGUUCCUCAGUCUGGACCUGAGCGGCGAACACCCGUCCGCUCGGGGCCGAUCGCGUCGUAUCAGGUUGACGCGGCAUCAUCCCGCGUCCAGUCGACGCGGCCGUCGGUGGAGCUCCUCCAUAGUGAGCCGGAAUCGCCGGCGCCGAUGCAAUCGAGGGGGCAGGUGAGGCUCCUCCUCCCGGGCAAUCUCGAAUAAAGUGCCCCGGCUGCCCACACUUGUAGCACUUGCCUCGGCCUUGUUCACAGCACGAAACCGGAUGGUCCCCGCCGCAUAUCAUGCAUCGCCGCACUCCACCGCCCUUCUGUUGAGUGCGCGCAUACUUCGAGGGUUUCUUGUAACGUGUCUGUCCCCCCGAACUACCGCCACCUUGGCGUUUCUUGCCCUUGUCCUUAGACUCGGCCAAAGCCUCACGCUUCUCCCGCACGUGGGCAUCUCCGUGCUCCGCCCAUAGGGCUCGGUCGAAGACCUACGCAAAGGUCGUGAGCUUAAGUAUUUGCACGGCCUUGUAGAUUCCCGGCCGAAGUCCUCGCAAGAACCACUUGGCCCGGUCCCGGCCACCUUUACAACAUCCGGGACACAAUCGAUAAUAUGGGAGAAUUUUUGUUCAUACUCCGCCACUGAGCGGUCCCCUUGUUCGAGCUUGCGGAACUUCUCCUUGAGCUUCCGCUUCAAUGUGUCGGGGAAAUAGUUGGCGAACAUCUCCCGCUUGAAUUCUUCCCACAGCAUCGGCGGAAGGCCGGAAAGCCGAUCCCGUCUAACGCGCUUCCACCAAACUUUCGCCGCCUUUUCCAAGCAAUGGGUGGCGAGAUACACCUUGUCCCUCUCCAAGGUCGAAAAUCGGGCGAAAGCACACAAGCGCACUCGUUCUAGGCUCUUGGUAUUAUGUCGUCGGCCGCCGACACAACCACCUCAAGACAAGAACUCAUACGACUUGAGUCCGUCUCUAAUCACAACUAGAGACAUAUACCAACUUCGACCCAAUCGAAUUAACUUCCGCCGUCGCUAUAGGUUCACGUUCCGCUCACGCACCUAUAACCUUAGGGCUUACCAAUCUAGGGUCUCCUAGGUCAUCCUAGACUCUCUCUUUACUUGCUCUUAUUGCUCUGAUACCAAAACGGCUGUCACGCCCCCCCCCGAAACCACUACCAAUUUGGCACGGUUCGGCCGCGGCGGCGGGCCGCCGAACGGACAGCUCCACCCCUGUCCGCCCAAGGCUCAACAACAGGAAUGUGUAUAAGAAUUUACCCAGGAAAUUAAAUUCUAAGCAUACACAUUCAAGAGGGAACAAACAGUGCCAACAAUACGAGAGCAAGCAAUCCACAAGGUAACAGGUGAAAUAAAUAGAGUACUUUACUAACUAUUACAAUAGUUCCAACAUUCUCAUUUACAUCAUUUUCUUUAAAUGAAUACAUUUGUCAUCCCAAAUACAUAGCUCUCCAAAUCCUCACCUACAAUGAAUCUCUCUCUCAAUACAUAGGUGACUAAUGCAAAAAGGAAAGCUACUAUACUACCACGGUCUCACAGGUCGGGCAUGAUGCCCUUGCUGUCCUCUCUCUGCAGCCCUGAACCUACCACUAGAAAUAGAGUGGGGUGAGAACUAUCUUCCAUAGUUCCCAGUGGGCUCGGUCGCCGACUCUGCCGAUCUCCCCACUAGGUCCAAGUGGGCACAAGUAACAACAAAUAGAUAGAUAGAUAGAUAUGUAUCUGAAAACUGUAAAUGCAAUAGUAGGAAAACUAUACUACUAUGCCGAUAAUCAUGAAUAUGAAUGCAUGCAUCAUAUAAUAAAGGUUUGCUAUCAUGCUAACAAAUUCGAUCCAUGUUCGAAUAGCAAUGUUCAAUGACAUUAGUAAACCUUUAACCUUUCCAAUUACCUAAUCUGUGGCGAGGCCCUAGGGCUCGCCCAUGACUCACCUUUCAAUCCCAAAGUGGGGAGGGAGCUCCAAGUGCACCCAAGCCCGAGACCGUCUGCGGACCUCCAUGUGGUCCGGACCUCCAAGUGGUCCUAGUCGCACGACACUCCGGAGUACUCGACGACAAUCCCCUCCAUGUGGGGAUUCGAUGGUUUUACCAUCCCAAACGCAGACUGUGAGCUAGAUCUAUCCUCUCCAAGUGAGGAUACCCUACAUCUAGGGUCAAUACCCAAUCGAAUCCUCUCCAAGUGAGGGAGCACUAUCACUAGGCUCCACAACCCAAUCAAAUCCUCUCCAAGUGAGGAUGCCCUACAAAUAGGGUCAACAUCUCUCGCGGAACCCUUUGUUCCUGACAUUCAUGCAAGGCUAUUUAGCGUUUCUAAAUUCAUUGUUCACAAGGCAUUUUCUAAGGGAUCCACCUAUCCCUAGGUCCGUCGACCUCUAGUGUCAUUUACACUACAUUAAUGCCACUCGUCAUCAUUCAAUGUUUGGAUGCCACUCGUUUGUUCUUUAACAUUAACACUACUUUCUAUGUCAUCAACACCCCCAUCGGGUUUAUCUCUAUCUUUAGCAUCAUAGGAUCCACGUUCCGACCCAAUCCUCACCUAUCUAGUUACCAAGCAUUCCAAGUACACUAGGUUAUCAUUUAGAAAGUAUAAGGAAUGGUGCUACUAUGCAAUCCUACAAUGCAACAUGAAGAGAUGAGAUUAAAUGCAAUCUAAGACAUAAAAAGGAAUUUGAAAGCUUCGGGAUGGCACCCCCCACCUUUAAUCGAUGUAGAGGCUUGGGAAAUCCUUCUCGGCGAACUUUACGAAAAGGCUUUAGCCUUCCUCGCCCGAAUCAACACUAGCCCGGCCCGAUCUUGCCGAGAAUUUCGCGUCGGCUCGCCGAAUGCUAAAACGGACCUCGCCCCCACGUUUUGUGACCUAACAAUAGGGUUUCCAAGGCUUCAAAUGAGAUCAAUCUCAUACUUUACAAAAUGCCCCCAUUUGGAGCCCUAGGUUGCACAUAUAGCAACCCACCAAUAAAACCCUAGAUUUAUGGGAUUGAUCUACUUAGAAGCUUAUUUAGGGUUCAUUUGACCCAUUCCAAAGCAUAAAAACCCAAAACCCUAAGUUUUACAAGCUAGGGUUUGUAGCUUACCUCUUGAGCUGCACCAAUAGAGAGGAGAGAAAGAGAAGAAGAUGCUCCAAGCCUUCUCUAUCUUGUUCUCCUCCUUCUUCUUCUUCUCCUCCUUCUUCUUCUUCUCUUUCUUCUUCUCCUUCUCUUAUGUUCUUUCUUUCCUAGAGAGAGAGAGGAGCAAGAGAGAGUGUGAAAGAGAGAAAGAAUGAGAGGCUGUGAGGGAGAGAGAGAGGGCUUAGCCCACUCUAAUAAAGGCCAUUUUGCACAAAAACCCCUCAACUUUUAAUCCUAUACGCUGCUUUUACUGGGCAGUUUUCGCGUGGAGGGACCGGUCUCCCCGACAAGGGACUGGUCCACGAGAGCUUUCCUCAGGCACACGCGUUCGGGAACGGGGGGAGACCGGUCCUCAGGAGACCGAUCCUCGCCUGAGAGACCGGUCCCCGAGAGCUCGAUUUUCAGGACUAAGCCAAUUUCGACAUUUCUCGCUGGGGACAACGUUCGGGAACCGGUCUCUCUCUGCCAGAGACCGGUUGCAUCAAGCAACCCUGCAACACCCUGCCAAGGAAACCGGUCUCUCACCUGCAGAGACCAGUCCCCGAGAGCAACAUUAGCCCAAUGAUGCCGUUUGCAUCGUUUGCUCUCGCGGACUCAACUCCAAAGCACUUUUUGUGUAUCGGACAUUUCCAACUCCCACAAAGGGUAUUCUCUUGACAAUUAGUCGAUCCUGAAUGAAGUACAAUCCUCGGAUUUCGAGAAUUCACUUCCUUACACACAUAGUCUAUUUUGGGCUUGUGGCGGUCGCUCCACACAAGCAGUGCACUCCGGAGUUGUCACACGAGCGGGGUAGCUCAUCGGGUGGGAUAUGAGCGGGGCAGCUCCUCACCCAUUGGACUGGGACGUGAGUUGGGGCGAAGGGCGGGGUAGCCUUUCCCCUAUGAGAUUGAGUGGGGCAGCUCAACAUCUAUGAGAUUUGUAGUGUACCGAAUUUUAAUAUAGAAAUAAGAGUAAAUAAAAAUGUAUAAAAUUGUGCAAAUGAGAGGGGCUAAGGUGUAGUGGUGCAAGUAAAAGAGUUUACUUGGAGGGCAAGUCUCCCUAUGUUAUGAGAGGGACUAAAGUGUAAUUGUGCAAAUCAAGGGUUUGCUUGGAGGGCAAGUUUCCUAUGAGUGUAAGUGAAUUCUUGACCUUUUACCCCAAACCGUAGGAGAGAGAGAGGGUGGGUUUUCUCUCUUUUUCUCUUUGACUUUAUGACCUCUCUUUCUCUUUGCUUCUCUUUACCAAAAAGAGGAUUAGAGAAGAAAGAAAAAUUAGAAUUUGCUUGGUGGUGAAGCAAGCUUGGUGGAGAAGAAGGCUUGGAAUUGAGUUACUUUCUUCAUCUUCUUCAUCAUUUGGAUUAGAGAAGAAAGCUUGUUUAAGGUAAGCUUCAUGGGCUCUAAUGGCAUAUAGCUAGAGAUGGGUUUAAAUCUCUUAGAAUCUAGCUAGAUGGAAAUCCUAGUUGAUGUUAGGUUGCUAUUUGCUUGAAUCAUGAAUUUAUAUAGUGUAUUAUUGCAAUAGUGACCUCUAGGAUUUUGGAAGAGAGCUCUUGAUCAUGAGAGGUUUUAAUCUCAAUUGAUCAUAUGUUUCCGCAAUUGAAGGUGAAACCGACUCGGAGGAUCAUUCGGAUUGAGAUUCCGUUAAGCCGGUGGUGGUCAAAGUGAAGAAAAUUCUAUUUUGCUUCAUUUGUCGCAGUUGGAAGAAAACGACGGCCAUAAAUCGCGCUACUAGGCUACUCGCUUCGUGUCAACAUCACGAGGUGGGGGGUGCUAUCCGAAAUAGCCGGGUUUCAUUCUAUGUCUAAGUUCUAAUAUUAUUGAUCAUAUAUCAUCAUGCAUAGAAUAGUGAGAAUCCUAUGAGUUGUGGUAAUUUCAUGCUUAGUGUAAGGGAUAAUGAUCCAUGAUUGCAUGAUACUUGUAGGAAUAUCUAUUUGCAUGAUGUUGAGAUAGAUGUGGACAUGUAUGUUAUAUGAGAACUUUUAUAUGAUGCCAAUAUAAAUAUUGUACAUGUUGUAUGAAUUACUAGUGGACAUAUGCAUGUGAAUAUGAUGUAAGAAUAGACUAGAUUCAUGAGGAACUAGUAUGUAAACCAAUGACAUUGUGAGAAUUGGAAACUAAUGCUAUGUGGCCGACCUAAGCAAAGCAUGCCUUGUGAUGAUUGGGAUAUGGUACUCCCGUGGCCCUCGAAUGAGAGGACUUGAUCAUACUCGCAUUGUCUGUUAUAGCUUGUGGAUGGUCGCUCCUCCCAAGCAGUGAGCUCCGGAGUUGAAUCACAUUGAGAUUGGAACGGGGGAGAGAGUCACUACGGUGCGCCCUCGGCAGACGGUCACGGUCGCGUGACAGUAUGUGUGGCGAGUGAUUCGACCUUCGGGCGAAUCGUUUGGAUUUGACAUAGGCAUGAUCAUGGCAUUUCGUAUAUAGUUUGCAUACAUGACAGAACUUAAACAUGUACUUGUUGACAUGAUUUGUAAAGGCAUAGCUACACAUUUGAAGCAUGAUAUAGAUGUAUAUGAGCAGGUUAGGCUUAUUGUUUAUCUAUUAUCUCCUUGACAUACUAUCAUUCUAUUGUUUCUAUGCCUUUCUUGGACCUAGUGGAAAAAUCGGCGGGGUCGGCGGCCGAACCCACUGGGAACUAUGGAUAAUAGUUCUCACACCCUGUUUUGCAGAGCCUAGUUCGAGCGCGUGUGUCGAGGAUCGCGGCAAGGGCGUCGCGCAGUAGAUAGCAUGGACCACCGGCGUUAGCUCACUACCCUCGAGUAUAAAAAGGAAAGAAUGAUAUGUAAAACCCUUUUGUGAAGAAAUGUAAUGUAUUUGAGAGAUGGUAUUUUGGUUGUAUGUAUGAGAAGUAAAGUGAAAUAUGUGAUGGUUCAUGUGUGUGAACAAGUGAUGUAAUAGAUAAUUUAAAUUCUCUUGUAUCUGUGAUUGCCUCUCUCAAUGUUGAAUGCUAACAUCUCUUGUUGGAUAUGUAUGCAUAGACUUUGUUACGCUUCGGGCGGGCAGGGGAAACUCUGUCCGUUCGGCGGGUCUGUUUCGGACCCGAACUGUCCAAAUUGGCGGUGACGGGUCGUGACAAGAUUAGAGCGGGGCAGCUCAAUAUCUAUGAGAUUAGAGCGGGGUAGCUCUUCAUCUAUGACCUUUGAGAUGUGAGACGGGUGAGAUAAGAGCGGGGUAGCUCCUCACCUAUGAGAUUUGAGAUAAUCAGUCAGGGCGAAGAGCGGGGUAGCUCUUCACCUCUUCACUUAUUAGAUUGUGGUGUGAGUACCUAUGAGAUUUGAGAUCUUAGGCGGGGUAGCCUAGUGGAUUGGGUAAUGACAGGAAUAGCAUAAGUGGAUUUGCAUUCAUACCCUGAUUAGUCAUAGUAUAUGUUAGUGGAUUGCAUAACUAUAUCGUAUUUGUAUUCAUUACAUCGUUGAAGCAUGCUAGCAUGAUAGUAGGCUUGUUGCUAGAUGAUAUUCCAUGCAUUGUUUGCAUUUGAUGGCAUAGUAGAACAUAGUUGCAGUUUCAUUUCUAUCUAUCUAUCUAUCUAUCUAUCUAUCUAUGCCAGCUUAGACCUACUGGGAAGAUCGGCGGAGUCGGCGGCCGAACCCACUGGGAACUAUAUUUUUAUAGUUCUCACCCCGUGUGGUUUUGGGGUACAGGUACACACAUGAGCGGACCGGCAGAUAAUCGCGGUAAGGGCGUAGCGCCCUAGCUAGCUAGUAGAGCUUUUCUAUUGUACUAGAGCACCCUCGUGUGCAUGGUUAUAGAUGACAUGAUGUAUUUUGGAUAGCUAGCAUUAUAUAUAUGUGAGAUGAUUAUGUAUUCAUUUUGGAAGCUUAAAUGUAAUCAAGUUGUAUUAAAGGUUGAAUGGAUGUAAAUGUUGAAUGUCAAAUGUGAUGUAAUAGAUAGUUAUAUCUCUCUUUUAUUCACUUGUUUAUAUUUGUGAUGCUUGCUCUUGUAAUGUUCGGCACUGGUUGUGCCCUCGCUAUUGUUUUGAUCAUGUAUGUAUUCAAGUUGAUUUCCUGGGAACUUGUUGUACAUGAUCCUGUUGUUUAGCCUUGGGCGGAUAGGGGAGGUGCUGUCCGUCCGACGUCUGUUCGACGCACCCGAACCGGACCAAAUUGGUAUCGGUCUCGGGGCGUGACAAUCUAUCUAUCUGUUUUCUUCUACUCAUGCCUGAUUGGACCUAGUGGAAAAGUCGGCGGGGUCGGCGGCCGAACCCACUAGGAACUUCUUGUAGUUCUCACCCCACCAUUUUUACAGAUCAAAGCGCAAGUGGGGCGGUCGAGGAUCGCGGCAAAGACAUAGCGCCCUAGGUAGUGGACACCCGUGCAUUAGUUGUACCUUUAUUUCAUCUUUUGUAUAUGACGAAAAGGAUGUAUUUUGGGAGAUAAAAUUGUAUAUAAAGACAGAUGUAAAGGAUUUGUUUUUAGAUGUAAUCAAGUUUAGUGAAUGGAUGUAAUAGAUAGGAUUUACUUUCACUUGCUUUUGUUACUUGCCUUCAUGCAAGUCAUGUAUAUUGUAAUUCUUUCUGGGCAAUUCUUUAUACAUGUCUAUGAACUUAUGGAGUCUUAGGCGGAUGAGGGAAGCUCUGUCCGUUCGGCAUCUGUGUACAUACCCGAACCGACCAAAUUGGCGGUCGCGGGGUGUGACAUCCUCUCAUGUUGCCUCGCCCUCCUCCGCCUCGCCGCCUCGCCCUCCUCCACUACCUCGCUCUCGCCAUAUCUCCAUCCGCGCCCACAAACACCUCCUCGCCCACCUCCGCCGCAUCGGCUUCUCCCUCGCCCUUUCCCACUUCUCCAUCCAUGCCCACCUUGAUUCCUCCCUACUGUCGCCGAAAUUGAGGGGUGACAAGGAUGCAGGAGGAGAAGGAGAGUAGGUGAAGAAGAAAAUGGAGACGAAUUGUGGCAGAUUGAGGCGCGGAAAAAAGAAGAGGAAAAGUGGUGGAUGAGCAAAAAUAGGGAGGAGACUAAGAUGGUGAGGGCAAAAUGGUUAUUUUGUCGUCACAGUUAACACCGUACCCCCUAUGAACAUUUUUCAUUUUACAAGGGGGCAACUUAUAGGUUUUUAAAUGAUAUGAAAAAAAAGUGAAAAAACGGGUAUUGGCAACGAGGUUUUAUGUAAUUUAGCCUUUCUGAAAUUAUAUGGUAAUGCAUUUGAAUUGAUGAUUUAUGAUAAGAAAUUAUCAAAAAGCAUAUGAACCUAAUAGAAACCAAAAAUUACAAAUUUCUAUUUUUAGCCGUGCAUCAGGUAGAGACAAAAAUAAAUAGUCUAAGUGGACAAGCUCUAUAAUGUUUCAUAAUAUCUUCCAUUGAAAAUCGAAGUUAACAUUCUUGAUAUAGGAAUCUAAACAUAUUUUUCAGAAGUUUUUUAACUUAUUUGAAUUAUAUUUAAUUGUUAAAUUAACAUGACCUUUCAUCCCCCAUUAGAAUUGUUAAACUUAAGAAGGCUUUAUGCCAGGUCAAAAUCAUUAGAAAAUCAUGGAAUUUAAGUCUAGAAAGAAUGAGAUAUCAAAUAAAAUGUUCGAUAGGCAAUGUUGAAAAGAAAGAAUUUAAGUCUAAAUCCUAUUAAAUUGAGCCUAAGUUCUAGUUGAUAACUUGUGAGAAAUCAUUACAUACUAGGUUUUAUUUCUUAUUAGCAAAAUAAUUAAUAAUUUAACAAAACAUUUACCGAAUUUUUUACACUUUACGAACCUUGUCGUCUUCACGCCACCGUUGCUACCAAUAUCGUGAGCACUCAUUAAAUAGUCGAAAAAAUUUACAUCGAAAUCAUUACGAAGCAUUCUCAUGUAACAACCAUAUGAUUGAUAAUUCUUCAACGGAUGCAAAUCUUUUUCAAUAUAUUCGUGAGCUAUAUAUUCAUUCGAAAUCGUAGGGCAUCGAAUUAUAAAUUUGAGACAAAAUUCUUCUCUGGUCCUAUUUACUAUUUUAUACGUUCUUAUCUCAAAUUAUUAAAUAUAGCAUCGAAACGAAUUGCGAUAAAUUUUUCUCGACCGUUAAUAUAUUAUGGACCACUAUUCAUCCCAUUGACACUUAGUGGCAUGCAACGAUUAGUCAUUUUAACUACACACAAUAAAAAAUCAUUAAAAUAAAAAUUAUUUCAAUCAAGAGGAUGCAAAAGAGAGAAGAUAUAUAUAUAUAUAUAUAUAUAUAUAUAUAUAUAGAGAGAGAGAGAGAGAGAGAGAGAGAGAGAGAGAGAGACCUAGGCUGGAAUACUAUCAAUAGCACCAACCUAUUGGUGCUAUUAAGUUUUCGGCCCUUAAAUGAAAAAAUAUGUACGAUUAGGAUGAUGUGGGCUCCCUAGGGUUGAGUAAGUUAUUGGUUUAAUAAUAUAAUCUAACGGAUGAAAGUAGUCGAAGUGUCACGCCCCGGACUAUAACGGAAGCACACCAAGCGCGUGCACAGAUCCGCCGUGUACACCAAACACCUCCGAUGCACACAAGGCGUCUACCACAAACAUAGAGAAUAGUAAUAACCAAUCCUAUCAUGAUAAUCAGAGCAAAACAUAACACCAUUAGAUACAUAAACUCGAACUAAGUACACCUUCUAGAUUACAACAUACAAACUAGAAAGUUCAAGUAAAGUACAAAAUUACAUUUUCAGACUAAACCAAAGCAAGCUUUCUACGGGUCCAUCUACCAAAACAUCGAGGAGGUUCUAGCUAGUCGCUAACCCCUUGCCACGAUCCCUAGCCUUUCCCGCUACGGAAGGCUCUGCAAACAAAACAAUCAACAUUUGGGUGUGAGAGCUAUUAAUCAAUAGUUCCCAGUGGGUAAACCGCCGAGAGUGGCGAAAUACACCACUAGGUCAACUGAGGCAUGAAUAAAACACAGCUAAUAGGAAAUGUAAAUACAACAAUUAAUUAAAAUGGUUCAACUAUAAACAUGCCUCAACAUGAUGUGUUUUCUAACAUGUCAGUUACAUCAAUCAUCACAUAUGCAGGCAUUGUAAUUCAUGCAAGUUAAAUACUUGUCCAUCUUUAAGUUAUAUGCCAUAAUUAAAGAAGAAUUCUUAGUCAACUAGCUAAAGUCAUUCUGUAGCUAUCGUUUCUAUGCUAUUAUAAAGAUGUCAUUGUCACUAAUGACUAACAAGAAUAUCCACUUCCUAGUAUGUUCAUUUACUAGGUAUGCCUCAACUAGUGUCACAAGGUAAUCUUUACUAACAUGUCCAUCUAAUGUUAAGUUUAGUUACACUUAGGGCCCGUUUGUUUUGGUGUAAGUGGAGUGAUGGAACUCAAGUUCCAUCACUUUCGUUUUUUGUUUUGAUGUAAGUGAAAAAUAUAAUGUAACUCAAGUUACGUUAGAGCUCCACUUCACCUACUCUCGACUUCCUCCUCUAAAGUGCCGAACUCAACUUUCACUACACUCAACCUCCUCUAAAAAAUUUAUUAAACAGUAAAACCUAAACUCUACUUCCUUUAUAAUGGGUUAGAAUUACCUUAUUUAUAAUAAAUUAGGAUUAUCUUUAAAUAAUAAUAAAAAAAUUAAUUAUAUAAUAGAUUAAAUUUUAUAGUGGUAAAUUUAUUACUAUAUUUAGGAGAUAAUAAGAUCCACUUACUUACAUCAAAACAAACAACGGAACUCAAAAAACUAAUUUUACCAGCACCAAGUUACAUCAAAACAAACAACAGAAGUGAUUGAAUUUAACUUUCAGGCGGUACAAGUUACGUCAAAACAAACAACAAAAAAAUAAUCACACUUCAGGAAAACUCAAACACCACUACACUUGACUUACGUUAAAUCUACAAAUACGUCAAUCCAAACGCCCCCUUACCCAAUUAACGAGGGACAUACAUGUGGUAAAGUCCCGGCUCAUGCCGUGCCUAAUCGCCCUAUGGUAGUUAACACUCCCCGCGACAAUCCAUUUCGGUGCUCAGUCCCGCAUGGGCGAUCAGUCGUCGCAAGACUAACUCCGGAGUGCUGGCUUGUAGGGAGCUACCCUCACAAGCUUGUGCGAAUGAGCACAUUGGCAAGCAAGCGUGAUCCAUAGCAUAGUGUUCACAAGUUCAUCACGUCUAAAACAUGGAAUCUCAAUAUCGACACAAAAUCGGCGACUAACAUAAAAGUCAUAUGUCAUUCUCAAUUACUUGGUGACAUAUUUUUACCAAUAAAUAGUAUGACUUAAGCAUGUAAAUGAUUUAUAUCAUAUUGAAGAUUAACGGGCUACACCCACAUAUCAACAACAGUAAACUCUUGGUCGUCAUGUCUAAAAUAUGGUAUGUCCUCUAACGACCCAUAAGUCGGAGUCUAUGUCACAAUGUCCAGUACGUUCUAGUCAUUUAACUAGGUCAUAUACAAUAACACGAAGUUCAUGCUAGUUCUAUCACGUAAAUGCCAUUAUUAACUUGUCUACACAAGUAUCCUACAAAUGAUUAAUCAACAACACUUUCCACAAUAUAAGGGUAUGACUCUGCUAUAUGUGAUAUGCAUAGAAAUUCUGUCGUCAUGUCUACAACAUGGAAUUGCAUAAGUUAACUCAAGAGUUAAGCACCGUAUUACAUUAUCAACUUAGUUGUUUUUCUAAACUAAGUUUCAUACUCAUAGCUCUACGUCCAUUCACUGAAUGAUACUCAAAUUAACUUGUCUACACAAGUUUACAAGUAACUUAUAAUGCAUGCUUAACAAGCAAGUUAUCCACGUAUACUAAACAGGUAUCAUAACCUUUUCACUACUACAUAGAGAUUCAACUUUAUCUUAUGUAAUAUGCAUGACUCAUGUAUUCACAAAACCCUUUACGAUAUAUUCAACAUGAAUAUGUAAGAAUUUUCACUUUAUAGCAUUAAAGAAGACAUAGGGAGAGUUUACUCAUUUCGGUAAGAUCAAAUCCACCAGAUACUCUUCGAACUCCUUCGAUUGCUCAAACAAAGGUGCCUUCUAGCCUUUAAUCACCCUAAAAACAGUUCUAACUUAAUUAGGAGCUUUUAAUAAGUCUCCUACCGAAAUCCUCAGAAAUUCACCUAAAAUAGGUAGAAGUAUACCUUAUAUGGAGAAAGCCUCUACUCUACACUCCACUUAAGGCUGGGUACUUCAAUUCCAACCUAAACAAGAGUUAGACCACAGCCAAUUAAGUUCUAUAAGCUCAGCUAAGGGCAUGUUUGGUAACUCGAAAGUCGGCGAAGUGGAAAAAUUCACUUUUAUAAAAGUGACUUUUCAGUUCGAUUGUUUAGUUGCUAUAAAGUAAAAAAAUAAAACUAUAAUUUUAUAUUUUUUUAUUAUUAAAUUAUAUAUAAAGAGGUAAAAAUGUAAACAAACGACUUAUACUUGCAAUUUAAAUUAAAAAUUUAAAUUUAAAUUAAUAUUUAGAAUUCAAAGUUAUAUUUUAAAAUUUAAAUUUAAACUUAAAUCUGAGUUGAAUUUAUAAUUAAAAUUUAAGACAUAAAUUUAAUUUACAAUUUGAAUUUAAAAUUUAAGUUAUAACUUAUAAGUAAAAUUAAAUUUUAAAAUAAAAGUUCAAUACAAAAUUUGAACAACAUUUAUUCAAAUUUUGAAUUUAUAAUUUGAAUCAUAUAUUAAUUCACACUUCGAUCUUAAAUUCUGAAUUCAAAUAUAAAUUCACAAUUUUAAUAUUUAAAUUUAAAUUAAAAUAUGAGUUUAAAUCACAAUCGAUCGAACAUUUGAAUUCAUAAUUUGAAUCCAAAUUCAGACUAAAACUAUUAUAUGAAGUAAAUGUAAAUAACAAAUUUAAAUUUGAAUUUGAAUUUUAAGUUAAAAAUUAAAUUUCAGUCAAUAAUUUGAAUUAUAUUUGGAACAAUUUGAAUUCAAAUUUCAAAUUGAAGUUCUUACUAAAAAUAAUUGAUUAAAAUUUAAAUUUAAAUUCUAGAAUUCAACUUUAAAUAAAAAUAAAUUUUAAAAUUUAAAUUAAAUAUAAAUCAUAAAUUUGAAUUUAAAAUUUUAUGUUGAAUUUUAAUUCACAAAUAAAAUUCAAAAUGUGAUCAUAAUUUUAAUUCAAUUUAAAGUGAAAUUAAACUUUAAAAUUGUCAGCCCCCGGGGUCCCUUUUCAGUUAAAACAAAGCGGAAAAAGCGUCUGAAUUUUUUUUUUUUUUGAAAACCUGACCCCAGGGUAUGCCAGACCGCCCACAAAUACAGGAAAUCCACUAUUCACACGGACAGAGUCUCCCCCUGUAUUUGCACGGCGUCGAUUGCCAACCAUCACAAUAAGGCACACCAUGCCGAUAUCACCAGCCGAACCGCACAUGAAUAUAGCAGGNNNNNNNNNNNNNNNNNNNNNNNNNNNNNNNNNNNNNNNNNNNNNNNNNNNNNNNNNNNNNNNNNNNNNNNNNNNNNNNNNNNNNNNNNNNNNNNNNNNNUUGUAGACGCCUUAUAUGUGUAGACAUAUGGCGGGUCUGGGCACGCUACCGGGAGGGCCUCCGCCGGUCCCGGGGCGUGACAUAUAGAGAAUGUGAAACGAUAUCUCUAUUUGAUCUAAAGAGGCUAAUUUGUAGAAAAUAGGUUUAGAACGAAAUCCGAGCCUCUAGGGUUUUUCAAACAUGUAUUCUUAUGAUGCUUAAUCAGUUAGAGAAUCCCAAUAGGUUAUUUAUAGACUUUAGAAUCAAAACGGAGUAGGAUUAGAAAGUUUUUUUCCAAAAUCAGCACCUUGUACCAGAACAAGAAAAGCUGUCCAGGGUACAGCAUGACGGAAGAUUUUUCUGCGAAGCUUCUGUACCCUGGACAGACUGCAUCUUGUACCGGAACAGGGCUUGUACCGGUACAGCCAUGAUGGUUGUACCGGAACAACCAUCAAACAAUCUGCGCAAACGCUGAUGGCUGUACCCUGGACAGAAAACUCUUGUACCGGUACAACAAUGCAAUUUUCGCUGAAAAUGCAUUGUUUCGAGUUUUACAAUCUCUUAGAAACUUUCUAAUCAAUUAUAAGUUGAAAACAUGAUUCUAAAAUUUAUAAUUAAGUAUGAAUCACCAUAAACAAGAUUUAAAGCUUACCUAAGCAUCGUGAUUCAUGUUUUACGUGUUUUGCGUCUUUUCCGAUUCUUCGAAGUCUUGGAUUCUUCGAUCUUCAAUACUCCGCUCCGGACUUCUUCAAGACUCCAACUCGACCAACGAAACCUGCCAACACAUAGGACCUAACAAUCUCCCCCUUUGGCAAUUUCGUGACAAAACACACACAAACUCACAAAUUACACUUGAAAGAAAAAACGAAGUUCAAUGUCAUCACCAAAGCAUCGAACCCCUCGCGUGUAAUCCAAAUACAAUUUGAAACUCAAAAUUAUAUCAAAACUCAUAAAACGGACUCUAUGACUUAGACGCAACUAGGAGUCUUGAAGUCUUGAUUUCCUACAAAACAAUUCAUUCAAAAAUGAUUAGCACUAAAUUCUUAUACCUUCUCCCCCUUUGUUCACAUCUCCCCCUUUGUCCUUGGACUCAUCAUCCUCUGCUUCAGUUCAAUGCCUGUUCAUCCAUGCUCUCCCCCUUCAUCUACGCUCUCCCCCUUUUUGUCAAAAAUUGCCAAAAGAAAACAAAUAGAAAGAGAAAACAUACUAGAAAAACAUGAGAGUAGUCUAGUCAUAGUUACAGGCCUAAAACAAAAGUAAAAACAUACUACAGAAAGAUAAGCAAGCAAAUAUAAAACAUCAUCCUAAACAGCAAAUGCAGUGAAAGAGAAAGACUAAGCUUGACAAAGAAUCUCAGAUUUCGAAAAAUUUGCUUUAAAAAUCCAUCAAAUUAAAUUAAUUUCAAAUAAUUUAAGGCUUUUACUCCAAGAAUCAUUAUAAUGACAAUAAGAUAUUAUAAAAUUUCAAAAUACAUCAAAACAUCAAAAUUUCAUUAUCAAAAAUAAUUUAAUGAUUCAAAACCAUCAAGAUGUAAGUUGAUGAAAAAUGAUUUUUAGAAAUUCAACAAAAAUUGACACCAAUUUGUCGUAACACGUUCGAAAUAAAGAUUUAACUAAUAUGGCAUCGGGGGUGGCUCUUUGAGCAUCUUUUCAACUUACCACCUUAUAACUCCGAAAAUUCUAAAAUAUUCAAUUUUUUUUUCACCUUUUUCGGUUACUCAAUUCAAUCUUCAUGUGGUAGCUUCACACACUUGCCGGACGACCGGGUUGGUAGCUCUUUCCUACAUGUGGUGGUAGUUUUCACACUCCAUUUAUGAUGUAACUCUUUCCACAUCUUUUAAACAUAGGAGUUUCUUUUUCUCCUUUUUUUAUUUUUAAACAAUUUCAAACUCUCCCUAAAUUAGACAAUCUCACAGUUGAAAAUAAUUUUGACGAAUUUUAGUCAAUUAGAGAAUAUCCAUUCAUCAUAUCCAACACUCACAACCAAGAUGAAUUAAUCACCAAAAAAUCAAAUUUGAUUUCAAANNNNNNNNNNNNNNNNNNNNNNNNNNNNNNNNNNNNNNNNNNNNNNNNNNNNNNNNNNNNNNNNNNNNNNNNNNNNNNNNNNNNNNNNNNNNNNNNNNNNNNNNNNNNNNNNNNNNNNNNNNNNNNNNNNNNNNNNNNNNNNNNNNNNNNNNNNNNNNNNNNNNNNNNNNNNNNNNNNNNNNNNNNNNNNNNNNNNNNNNNNNNNNNNNNNNNNNNNNNNNNNNNNNNNNNNNNNNNNNNNNNNNNNNNNNNNNNNNNNNNNNNNNNNNNNNNNNNNNNNNNNNNNNNNNNNNNNNNNNNNNNNNNNNNNNNNNNNNNNNNNNNNNNNNNNNNNNNNNNNNNNNNNNNNNNNNNNNNNNNNNNNNNNNNNNNNNNNNNNNNNNNNNNNNNNNNNNNNNNNNNNNNNNNNNNNNNNNNNNNNNNNNNNNNNNNNNNNNNNNNNNNNNNNNNNNNNNNNNNNNNNNNNNNNNNNNNNNNNNNNNNNNNNNNNNNNNNNNNNNNNNNNNNNNNNNNNNNNNNNNNNNNNNNNNNNNNNNNNNNNNNNNNNNNNNNNNNNNNNNNNNNNNNNNNNNNNNNNNNNNNNNNNNNNNNNNNNNNNNNNNNNNNNNNNNNNNNNNNNNNNNNNNNNNNNNNNNNNNNNNNNNNNNNNNNNNNNNNNNNNNNNNNNNNNNNNNNNNNNNNNNNNNNNNNNNNNNNNNNNNNNNNNNNNNNNNNNNNNNNNNNNNNNNNNNNNNNNNNNNNNNNNNNNNNNNNNNNNNNNNNNNNNNNNNNNNNNNNNNNNNNNNNNNNNNNNNNNNNNNNNNNNNNNNNNNNNNNNNNNNNNNNNNNNNNNNNNNNNNNNNNNNNNNNNNNNNNNNNNNNNNNNNNNNNNNNNNNNNNNNNNNNNNNNNNNNNNNNNNNNNNNNNNNNNNNNNNNNNNNNNNNNNNNNNNNNNNNNNNNNNNNNNNNNNNNNNNNNNNNNNNNNNNNNNNNNNNNNNNNNNNNNNNNNNNNNNNNNNNNNNNNNNNNNNNNNNNNNNNNNNNNNNNNNNNNNNNNNNNNNNNNNNNNNNNNNNNNNNNNNNNNNNNNNNNNNNNNNNNNNNNNNNNNNNNNNNNNNNNNNNNNNNNNNNNNNNNNNNNNNNNNNNNNNNNNNNNNNNNNNNNNNNNNNNNNNNNNNNNNNNNNNNNNNNNNNNNNNNNNNNNNNNNNNNNNNNNNNNNNNNNNNNNNNNNNNNNNNNNNNNNNNNNNNNNNNNNNNNNNNNNNNNNNNNNNNNNNNNNNNNNNNNNNNNNNNNNNNNNNNNNNNNNNNNNNNNNNNNNNNNNNNNNNNNNNNNNNNNNNNNNNNNNNNNNNNNNNNNNNNNNNNNNNNNNNNNNNNNNNNNNNNNNNNNNNNNNNNNNNNNNNNNNNNNNNNNNNNNNNNNNNNNNNNNNNNNNNNNNNNNNNNNNNNNNNNNNNNNNNNNNNNNNNNNNNNNNNNNNNNNNNNNNNNNNNNNNNNNNNNNNNNNNNNNNNNNNNNNNNNNNNNNNNNNNNNNNNNNNNNNNNNNNNNNNNNNNNNNNNNNNNNNNNNNNNNNNNNNNNNNNNNNNNNNNNNNNNNNNNNNNNNNNNNNNNNNNNNNNNNNNNNNNNNNNNNNNNNNNNNNNNNNNNNNNNNNNNNNNNNNNNNNNNNNNNNNNNNNNNNNNNNNNNNNNNNNNNNNNNNNNNNNNNNNNNNNNNNNNNNNNNNNNNNNNNNNNNNNNNNNNNNNNNNNNNNNNNNNNNNNNNNNNNNNNNNNNNNNNNNNNNNNNNNNNNNNNNNNNNNNNNNNNNNNNNNNNNNNNNNNNNNNNNNNNNNNNNNNNNNNNNNNNNNNNNNNNNNNNNNNNNNNNNNNNNNNNNNNNNNNNNNNNNNNNNNNNNNNNNNNNNNNNNNNNNNNNNNNNNNNNNNNNNNNNNNNNNNNNNNNNNNNNNNNNNNNNNNNNNNNNNNNNNNNNNNNNNNNNNNNNNNNNNNNNNNNNNUUUUCUUUCGAAGCCUUUGCACGCUUCUUCUCUUUAGAUGUAGAAGAUUUAGAAAAAGAUUGUCGCUUAGAUGAUGAAGCCUUGUCCGAGUUGUUCUUCUUUCGGAAAUUCCGACGAAACUUCUUCGUUAGAAGUGCAAGUUGAUGUUCGAAGUCGGCAAGAGAAACAUCUCCGUCGGAAUCCGAGUCUCCGUCUUCCUCUUUUGUCGAUUUCAAUGCAACCCCUAUGCUUUUAGAAGAAGACUUGACAAAAGAUUGAUUAGUAGGAAAAGUCAUCUCAUAAGUUUGCAAAGCACCUACUAAUUCUUCGACUUUCAUCUCGUCCGGAUGCUUAACCGUUUCGAUCGCAGCAACCUUUGCCCGAAAGCGUUCCGGAAGAGUUCGAAGAAUCUUUCUAAUAACCUUAGAAUCCGGGAUUUUCUCUCCCAAGUUAACACAUGUAUUCACAAUGUCUUGUAGACGUGUAUAGUACUCGGUAAAGGUCUCGUUUUCAUCCAUAGAAAUAGAAUCAAACUUGCUAGUUAGCAUUUGUAAUUUUUAGACCUUUACUAAGCUUGUUCCGCGUAACUUGUAGAGUAUCCCAAAUUUCCUUUGCCGUUUCGCAUGCCGAAACCCGAGUAAACUCCGUUUGCGAUAAAGCGUUGAAUAAAGCAUUAAUUCCUUUACCGUUAAACGAAGAUGACUCGUUUUCAUCUUUUGACCAUUUGUUCCGUGGUUUAGGAACGGUAGCGUUAUUGACAACUUCAGUAGGGUGCUCCCAACCAAAUUCAAUAGCUUUCCAAACACGCUAAUCGAUUGCAAUUAGAAAAGCUCUCAUGCGAACUUUCCAAUAGGCAUAAUUCGUGCCAUCGAAGAGUGCAGGACGAUUAACGUUACCGCCUUCGGCCAUUCGAAAACAAUAUAUCUAGAUCCCUCUCUGAUACCAAUUGAAAGAUUUGAGUAGCCCAAGGAUCUAUCUAGAUUGUAUCUAUCACCUAGAGGGGGGUGAAUAGGUGAACGGCCAAAAAACCACAAAUCUCGAUGCAAUAAAAAUAAAUGCGGAAAAUAAAAAGCACACCGAGAUUUACGUGGGAAAACUCCAACUUGGAGAAAAACCCACGGGACCAACACGCGAAAAAAUAAUUCACUAAGAGAAAAGAUUACAAGGUGAUUACCGACUCCACGGACUCAACCUCUCUUAGCCUCCUAUGAAUCUUCGCGCUAUCCUCCGGGUGUCCACGCCCUCACGUUCGAAUCCACGAACGCCUCCACUUCGAAUCCACUAAGCUUCAAUCAUGCCGAAUCCACGACGCCACUCGAAUCCACGAGCCAACGAUCCGAAUCCACGAACCGCCUUUGUUCACGCCGAAUCCACGACGCCGUUCAUGAAGAGCACAUGAUUAUGGUGAUCCUUCGCUUAGGAGUAUCGUAGAAAACCAGGGAAUAGAACUCCAAGCGAAGCGGAGAUCAAAUCGACAUAUAGAGAAUGCGAAACGAUAUCUCGAUUUGAUCUAAAGAGGCUAAUUUGUAGAAAAUAGGUUUAGAAUGAAAUCCGAGCCUCUAGGGUUUCUCAAACAUGUAUUCUUAUGAUGCUUAAUCAGUUAGAGAACCCCAAUAGCUUAUUUAUAGACUUUAGAAUCAAAACGGAGUAUGAUUAGAAAGUUUCUUUCCAAAAUCAGCACCUUGUACCGAAACAAGGAAAGCUGUCCAGGGUACAGCAUGACGGAAGAUUUUUCUGCGAAGCUUUUGUACCUUGGACAGACUACAUCUUGUAUCGGAACAGGGCUUGUACCGGUACAGCCAUGAUGGUUGUACCGGAACAACCAUCAAACAAUUUGCGCAAACGCUGAUGGCUGUACCCUAGAUAGAAAACUCUUGUACCGGUACAACAAUGCAAUUUUCGCUGAAAAUGCAUUGUUUCGAGUUUUACAAGCUCUCAGAAACUUUCUAAUCAAUUACAACUUGAAAACAUCAUUCUAAAAUCUAUAAUUAAGUAUGAAUCACCAUAAACAAGAUUUAAAGCUUACCUAAGUAUCGUGAUUCAUGUUUUACGUGUUUUGCGUCCUUUCCGAUUCUUCGAUCUUCAAUACUCCGCUCCGGACUUCUUCAAGACUCCAACUCGACCCACGAAACUUGCCAACACAUAGGACCUAACAGCUCCCGAGCAAUACGAACCUUGUCCUCAGCUUCCUGGAGCACAUCAGGGCCUAAAGCCAGUCUCUCGCCGGCUUCACUCCAAUGAAGGGGCGAUCUACACUUCCGUCCAUAAAGUGCUUUGAAGGGUGCCAUGUUGAUACUUGCUUGAUAACUGUUGUCAUAAGCAAACUCUGCCAUCGGUAGAUGCUGCGACCAUCCUCCCUGGAAGUCUAUCACAUAUGCUCGGAGCAUAUCCUCUAAAGUUUGAAUAGUGCGCUCCAACUGCCCAUCACUCAGAGGGUGGAAAGCAGUGCUGAAAUCCAAUCGAGUGCCUAAGGCGUCCUGCAGACUCCUCCAAAAGUGAGACACAAAUCGGGUGUCUCGAUCAGAUACAAUCGAAGCAGGCACUCCGUGAAGUCGCACAAUCUCAUCUAGGUACACUUGUGUGAGCUUCUCCCCAGUCCAAGUCGUACGAAUAGGUAUGAAGUGCGCCGACUUAGUCAACCUAUUCACGAUCACCAAAUAGUAUCAUGCCCGGCCUGAGAGCGAGGCAAUCCCAUCACAAAAUCCAUCGUGAUCUUCUCCCAUUUCCACACUCGCAUCGGCAAACUCUGAAGUUUUCCCGCUGGCAAUCGUGCUCCGCCUUUACUCGUUGGCAAGUUAGACAACGAGCUACAAACUCGCCAAUAUCCCUUUUCAUCCCGGGCCACCAGUAGAGCAAGUUUAAGUCCUUGUACAUCUUGGUGCCUCCCGGAUAUAUAGCAUAGGGUGCCCGGUGUGCCUCUUGAAGAAUAUCUUCUUUAAUUUUCGAAUCCGCCGGUACACAUAACCGUCCACGAAAACACAUCAACCCUUGAUCAACCACAAGGAAAUCGCCGGUGCAACCAUUAACCAUUUUAUCUCUAAUCUUUUGCAAUUCCACAUCGGAAACUUGCUUUUCUUUAAUUCUAUCCAAUAAUGUAAGUUGCACUACCAAGGUCAUCAACCUCAAGGGCGUGUCAGAAGUCACCACCUCCAACUCCAACCGCUUUAUCUGCUCGAUCAACUGCAGUUGAGCAACAACAUGCAUCGCUAAGUUUUCUAUCGAUUUCCGACUUAGCGCAUCUGCCACCACGUUAGCCUUGCCCGGGUGGUAAAUAAUAGUCAGAACAUAAUUCUUGAGCAGCUCCAACCAUCUGCGUUGUCUCAAGUUCAACUCCUUCUGAGUGAAAAGAUACUUCAAGCUCUUGUGAUCGAUGUAUACUUCACACUGCUCGCCAUAAAGAUAGUGGCGCCAUAGCUUCAAUGCAAAAAACUACGGCCGCCAACUCUAGAUUGUGCGUAGGAUAGUUCCUUUCAUAAUCCUUCAAUUGGCGAGAAGCAUAUGUGAUCACCUUACCAUCCUGCAUCAAAACGCAACCCAAUCCAUUAAAUGAAGCAUCACUACAAACCACAUACCCUGCUCCGGCAAUCGGCAGGGUUAGGAUCGGGGCGGCCGUCAAUCUUUGCUUCAACUUUUGGAAGCUUCUUUCGCACGCAUCGUUUCAAAUGAAUUUGACGCCUUUAUGCGUGAGUCUCGUGAGGGGAGUAGAAAGCUUAGCAAACCCCUCGACAAAUCUCCGGUAGUAACCGACCAAUCAAAGAAAGCUCUGUAUCUCCGUGACGCUCGUCGGUCUCGGCCAAUCCUUGAUAGCCUCAAUUUUCUUGGGAUCUACGGCUAUACCCGAUCCCGAAAUCAAAUGUCCAAGGAAUGCAACCUCUCGAAGCCAAAAUUCACACGUUUUCAACUUAGCAAAAAGCUCCCUUUCCGGAAGUAUUUGAAGUACAAGCCUCAAAUAUUCCUCGUGAUCUACAUCACUUCGGGAAUAAACCAAGAUGUUGUCGAUGAACACCACAACGAAUCUGUCUACAUAAGGCUUAAAAAUACGGUUCAUUAGAUCCAUAAAAGCUGCCGAGGCAUUAGUAAGCUCAAACGGCAUAAUAGUGAACUCAUAAUGCCCAUACCGUAUUCUAAAAGCCGUCUUCGAUACAUCCUCGGGUUUGAUCUUUAACUGGUGGUAUCCCGACUGCAAGUCGAUCUUGAAAUACACACACGAUCCCUGAAGCUGAUCAAAUAAGUCGUCAAUCCUCAGCAACGGAUACUUAUUCUUGAACGUGACUUUAUUAAGUUCACGAUAAUCCACACAUAGGCGCAGUGAUCCGUCAUUCUUCUUGACGAACAAAACAGGUGCUCCCCAAGGCGAAACGCUCAGUCGAAUGAAGCCUUUGUACAGAAGAUCCUGCAGCUGUGCUCUCAGCUCUUUCAGCUCCGCCGGUGCCAUCCUAUAGGGUGCCUUUGAGAUUGGGGUAGUCAGAGGGACGAGAUCUACUACAAACUCAAUCUCUCUAUCAGGUGGCAUACCGGGUAGCUCGGCUGGAAACACAUCCAGAAACUCCCGCACCACCGGGAUAUCCUCAAUCCUAGGGGUAUCAUCAUCGCCCCUCAGCACAAUACUGGCCAAAUAGGCUAUGCAACCUCUGCUGAUCAGCUGCCUAGCUCGAGACGAGCUGAUCGUCAUCGCGAAAAGCGAACUCCAGCAUCCUCUAAAUACAAUCUCAGUCUGCCCCGGUUCUCUAAAAGUAACCGUGCGAUUCUUGCAAUCGAUCGUGGCAUAGUACUUGGUCAACCGGUCCAUACCCAAUACCAUAUCGAACUCCCCCAGCCUGCGCAAAGCUAGCAGAUCCACGGGCAUAAUCCAAUCCCCUAGUCGAACAGGGCAACUGGAUCAAAACUCUCGAAUAUUCAAAGUGUGGUCGGGUACUACAACCUGUCCCGGAUGCAACAAAGAAACCAAAGGGAUGCCAUGCAACUCGGCAAACAGCCGAUCUAUGAAUGAAUAUGAUGCACCGGUAUCAAAUAAUGCAUGAACUCGAAUGCCAUUUAAUAAAAUAAUACCUGCAACCACAUCCUCGGCUGCUGCCGCCUUCUCGGUCUGAGCAGCAUACAUGCGCCCACUUGGGGCCUGUCGAGAUCCCUCGCUCUAACGCUGGAUGGAUGACCGUCUAGGCUGGUAUUGUGCCGAUGGAGUCCCCUGGCUGGCGGCUGGUAGAGCCAGUGCCGAUGCAAUCGAUGGUGCCCGUGACGAAUCCCUCGGGCACUCGGUCCGGAAGUGGCCCUUCUGGCUACACAGAAAACACCUCCCUCCCCACUACGGAUACUGCGGUGGAAUAUGAAGACCAUCACAGAUCACGCACAGGGGAGGUCGGCGACGAUCAGAACUUCCUCGCUGCGCUACCGAGCUGCGCCCACGCUGCUGGCUCCUAGGGUGCUUCGGCGGCCUCCUAAGUGCGUCUGACUCGCACCCUCAGCCGCGGGCCUUUUGCCCUUACCCUUGUCCAAGCCUUCUCGCCGCUCCUGAACAUCUGUCGCGCCGCUCUACAUAAUGAGCGCGCGAUUCACCAUCUCCCGAUAGGUUUGGAGGUUAGAAUAUUGCACAGACCGGAAGAUCGACGGUCGCAAUCCUCGCUCGAGGAUACGGCCUUAACCUCGUCGUCCCGCACGACGAAAGGCACACAAUGUAGAAGCCGAGAAAACUCCCUCUCGAACUCGGCUACUGCUGGGUCUCCCUGGCGCAAGUUGCGCAAGUCCUGCUCCAUUUUCCUCUUGACGCUGUCCGGAAAGUACUGCGCCAAUAGAAUCUCCUUGAACUUCUUCCAAGUAAUGGCCGCAAGAUCAGUGUUGGGGCUCUCCUGGAUGUCCAACCACCAACGGUAGGCCUCGCCGUCCAAGUGGUGUGUGGCGAGCCAAAAUCGGUCCCUCUUCUCUACAAAGGUGUCGCGGAAGAGCUUCUCCAUGUGCAUCAACCACUUUUUCACGAUCAAGUGGUCGACCUUCUCGCCAUCGAAGAUCCGGGGGGUGCACCUCCUGAACUCAUUGAGGUGCUCCAUAAGUCGGUCCCGCUCUGCCCCCUCGACUAUUCGGGAAAAACUGUCCCCACCAGAGGCACCUGAACAGCUGGUGCUACAAAGUCCUCCUCCUGAGGCACGACCACGGGCGCCGCACGCGAAGAUCCGGGUGCAGGUGAAGGCGCCCUCGGUGCGACGUCCCCAACAGGUGCAGGCGGCGAAGGAACCGAAGCCUCUCUAGAAGCUGCCUGCUGUAGAAGAAGGUCCGCGAGCCGCUUCAUCCGUGCCCCCUGUCGGCACGCCGCAUCAGCCUUCUGCUGAGGAGCCGCUGUCUGCUGCGACACCAAGUCGGUGAGGGCCGCAAGCUGGCCCCUCAACUCACGGACCUUGCUGGAUCCGGAGGUAGCGGAGGUCUCGACCUCCUCAAGGUAUGCCGCAUUGUCCGCUCUGGCAGAUUGAGAACGUGUCAUCGGCAUAACACUACAACAUCAUAAAAGCGCAAGUUAGUAAAACCCACGCUAUCGAAUCCCCACUCAAGAAGAUAAUACCCAAAUCAUGCGAAAGUAAAGAAGAGUUCUUCACUACUAACUCCCGAUGUUACGUUGUAGGCCGCCAACGUAAUCCUCCGCGAAGUUAGAAGCUAUACACUUCGAUUUAAGUCCACUUUCUAGAGUUAUCAAGAAUACCGAAUCAUGAUACUUUUGCUUGCAAGUCAAAUAGACAUUGUCUCUCACGAGCCUAUUUUCUAUAGUCCAACCGGCCUAAGGUUUGCUAGGUCCAUUAAGACUCAACCCUAGGCUCUGAUACAAAAUUAAUCUGUCACGUCCCGGGACCCAGUGGAAGCCCGCCCGGCAUGUGUCCAGACCCGCCAUACGUCUAACACAUAUAAGGCGUCUACAAUAAAUCGACAAAUAAAGCAAUAGAAGAAAGACAUCUAGAAGUAUCAGAGCAAAGUACAACUAGAUUCUACAAAAUAGAAGUAAGCAAAAGGCUAAAAUCCACUAAAAGUAAACCAUAAGUAGUACAUCCGAAAUCCAAAGUACAAAUACUAAAAGUAACACAUAGGUGGUCUCUAUACAUGGAUACAAAAUCUCUCUCUCUCACAACAACAAACAAUAGGAGAGAAAAUUACCUAAGCAAAAAGUAAAUCCUUGCUAUCUAGCUACGCGACCCCUUCGCUGAGAUCCCGUGCCUCCACCGGUGCUGAAGGCUCUGAAAGAAAACUAUAAAACAGAGGGCGUAAGAACUAUUAAAUAAUAGUUUCCAGUGGGCAAUUACUGACUUCAGUACAAUGCGCCACUAGGCCCAAAAACUAAGCAGGUAAGUAAGAAUAAACAAGCAAUAUGAAUGACAAGUAUUUAAAUAUGAAUACUUACUAAACCAGGAUAUCUCUACUUAGCAUGAAUUUACAUAAGUAAUAAAGCUGCUGUAAUAUGAAUGUCCAAGGUUACAACUAACAUAAUGUCCACAAGCUAAAUAGUAAAAUGUCAUUGUUUACUAUUCUAGUCAAUUUUCGCUUGGUAUACUAAGUCACCAAUGUUCCAAUCCUGUAGGACCUACCCGUGGGUUGUCCGGCCUGCACCGUGCCUAAUGGCCCCGUGGUAGUCAACAUCUCCACUCUAGGAAUGAGCCUCCCCUACGGCAUCCCAUUUCGGCGCCCAAUCCCGCACGGGCGAGCAUGUGUCGCAAUGGCUAUCUCCGGAUUGCCGGCUUGUGGGGAGCGACCCUCACAAGCAUAUGCGAAUGAGCACAAUGGCAAGCAAGUGUAAAAGUCCUCUCAAGUCCUAAGUCAUCAUGUCUAAAACAUAGAAUGUAGCAAAUCUCUCAAUGGCCUAUCACUAUGUCAUCAUAUCUAAAACAUGGAAUGUAGUCGAUGUCACAAUGGCCUAUCAAAAUGUCACUAUGUUGCAGUUCAACUGUUUACUAGUUUGGGUGCCUCUUUAUGGCACUUUUGUCCAAUGUGUUUAAACAUGAGUUUUGUGUCCCAGAACACUUAAUUCUAACCAUUUCCAACACAUGAGACAUAUUCCAAUUUACAAAAUAGAAUACUAAUCAUGUGCAUGAGUAAUACACUUAGCCCUCAACUACAUAGAGUCAAUUUUUCAUAAAACAUAACGCAUACAUUUUAAAUAUUCUAAAAUUCAUAAAAAUUCUAUCAAGCAUGAAUAUGCAGACAUUUCGAUAAAACAACAACUUUUAACCACUUAGGAGAAGAUUUCUCCUGUUCCAAUGAAGCCAAACCCACCGUGACUUCCCGAAACCCUUCGUUUGUGCCGACGAAGGUGCCCACUACUCUCCUAGUACCUAAAGAUAACAAAAGGAGGCAUACACGAACGUUACGAACAAUCAAUUGCUCAAACAUUAAGCAACUCAAGCAAAGGUGAAGGAAACUCACCGAAUGCGAAGAAACCUAUCACGAUCUCCAAAUGGGAGUUAGAGGCCCUCAAAUCCAACAUAAACAAAAGUUCUAAUAAGAUCAAUUGGGCUCCAAAACCCUCAAAUCCAAAAUCCCCAUUACUAACCCUAUUAUGCUCAAUCUAGGGUUUCAUUUAGUCAAAGCUACUAAAACAUGAAUCAAAAAGUAGAUUAGGCUUACUAACCUCACAAGAGCUCCAAAACAAGACUCCACGUAAGCUAGGGUUGAAGAUCCUCCCUCCACAAAGCUCCAAUCACGAGCUCAAGGCUUCUCCCAUGGUGAAAACUAAUAAGAAGCAAGAAGAGGCAAAAAUGAGGAGAUCAAAACUAGCUAAAACCAUCAAAAAUGGAGAAGGAAUCAAAGGGAAGGAGGCUCACCUUGUUCUCCACUGGUUAAGGCUCAAAAGAGCUCUCAAAGGGGGCUGGGGUGGGUUAUAUAGAGUUUGCAACAAUUGCAAAUACACCCCUCCACAAAAAUAGCUCGUUCUGCAUUGUGUACCGGUACACAGGAAAGUGUACCGGUACAAACCCUGCGAGACAGCAAACCCGAGCCUCGGGUUGGCCAUUCACCACAUUUGUACCGGUACAACCAUCAAGGUGUACCGGUACACUUUCUGUACCGGUACAACCAUCAAGGUUGUACCGGUACACAACCCUGCUGAGGCAACCCGAGAGCAGACCCAAAAAUCUAAUCUUUUGGAUUUUGAUACUAAGUUUUAAAUCUCAAUUCUCGAGAUGCGUGCCAUGGGUCGGAACUCUGUCUACGACCCUCUAGAAUAUCUGGAAAAGCUCGGAACAUAGAUCAAACACUCGAAUCUCGCAAUUUGCAAAGUUCGAGUGUGUUACAUCAUCACUCCAAAAUGCAUCUCACAACCUAUACAUCAUCUACUCUCAUAUAUGUAGGUAUCCCUAAUGCAGUAGGAGAGCUACUAAUGCUAGAGCGCUAAGCCCUUACCGCGAUCCUCGCCCAGAGCGCUCGUACUCGGCCCUGCAACAAAGUGGGGUGAGAACUAUUGUCCAUAGUUUCCAGUAGGUUCGGCCGCCGACUCCGCCGAUCUCCCCACUAGGUCCAAGUGGGCACAAGUAGAUAGAUAGAUAGAUAGAUAUGUGAAAAUAGUAACGACAUAGUAAGAAAGCUAUACUAUUAUGCCCAAAUCAUAUAUAAUGUAUGCAUGCACAAUGUGAUAGGUAAUCAGCUAACAUGCCACUAUGUCGAAGAAGUAAUGCUAUUUACUUGUUCAUCAAAUCUCUUGGCUUACCCAAAGGCUCGCCCACGACUCACAUAGCCAUCUCAUAAGGUAAGGAGACUCAACUUGCUAAACAAACUCGAGACCGCCUGCGGGACCCAAAAGGCUAUCCCCGGGACCCAAAAAGGCUAUCCCUCGUGUGACAAACUCCGGAGCGCACGCUUGUGUGGAGCGACCACUACAAGCUCAACAGACAGUGAGUAUGAUCCAAUCCUCUCCACUCGAGGAUACCCUAUCCACUAGGGCUAACAGUCACUCGGGAAUCCACCUAUCCCAGUGUCCAUAUGCAAGUGUUUAACUACACUAAGUUCUUGUUCAAUGACUCAUCGCUAGGGAAUCCGCCUAUCCCUAAGUUCAUAUGUCAAGUGUCACUUUACACUAAGUUGUAUGCCACUCAUUCUGUUGUCAUUGUUAUUUACAUGCCACUCAUUAUGUCUUUAUCAACCAUCGAGUCCAUCUCUUAUCUCAGCACUAUAGGAUUCAAUGCCUCAACCCAAUCCUUAUCUAUCCACUAUAUCAAGCAUUCCACUCAUACUACGAUAUCAUCUAGGAAAGCAUAAGGAAAUGGAAAUGCACAAUUAUCCUACAAUGCAUACAUGUGAGAGAUGCAAGAUUACAAUGCACUAAGACAUAAAGAGGAGCCCGGUUGCUUCGGGAUGACACCACCCACCUUCUGGCGUUGUCACGACUCUAGGAAUGCGAUUCGGCGAUUUUAUGACGUCGUCUCGGCCUUCCAGGCGGAAACGAAGCUCAGAAGGUCCUUUUCGCCAAUAACUUUGCACCCGCUCGAUGGAUUGCCGAAUCGUCUUCGCCAACGCAUCAGAAAGCCUAUCAAUUAGGAUAAUACAUGAUCAAUUUAGAUCAAACCCUACCACAAGGCAAAACCCCAUUUUGGAGCCCUAACUUGCAAUCAUGCAAGAAUCAAACUCUAAAUCACCAAACUCAAGUACUAAGCAUCUAUCUAGCAUGCUAGAGUUCCAACCAAACCAUUUCUAGAGUAUAAAAUGUAAACCAUAGAGAUCUACCAUGGUUGAGCUUCAAGCUUACCUCCAAAAGCUAGCUUCAAUAGUGAAGAGGAAGAAGAAGAUGAUGAAGAAUCUUCUCCUAGCUUGCUUCUCCUCCAACUCCUCCUCUUUUCCCACCUUCUAGAGAGAGAGAAAGGGCUUAGAGAGAGAGAGGGAGAGUUUUAGGUUUAGAGUUGAGGGAGAGUGAAAGAGAGAGUUCACAACACCCCUCACUCAAAUCCCCAAGGUCACAAUUGCGUAAAACCCCCUCAACUUUGUAACUCAUGCACAACCCAGCCUAGGCAACUUCGAGCUACGGGCACCGGUCUGUCCCUAGAGGGACCGGUCCCCGAGAGCAAUCUAUGCGCAAAAUGGCCUUUGCUCCAUUUCUGCGUGUACGGGUACCGGUCCCUCCCACCAGGGACCGGUCCCCGAGAGCACAAUUCCAUGCGCAGAGCUUUUCUACUAUUACCCACGCGUAUGGGUACCGGUUCCUCCCACCAGGGACCGGUCCCUGAGAGCAAAAUUUGCAAUUGUGCAGAUUUGCACAACUUGCUCUCUCAGGCUGUCUACAAUGCACCUUUUGCAUUUUCGACGCCUUCGGCCGUUCCGAAGCGUUCCCAACCGACAAUCAGUCGAUUCUAAACGAAGUUCAACUCUUAUAUUUCGAGAAUUCACUUCCUUACAUUAGUACCUUAGAUCUUCUCUUUAGAUCUUAUUAUGGUAAAGUUUUUUUAGAUGAAACCCUAGAAAUGAGAAUCUAGGAUUUUAUUUGGGUAUUUUUGAUUGGAAACUUUUGGAGCUCAAUUGAUUGGUUUAGAACCUUUGUUUAGGUUGGAUUUGAAGGGACCUAGCUCACAUUUGGGAUUUGUGAGGGUUUUUCUACACUAUAGGUGAGUUUUAACCCUUUUCUUGGGUUGGUAAAUGUUGAACACAUGGAGUGUUCAUUCGUCUUGUCUAACCCUCCUAGGAUUUUCUUUAGGGAGCUAGGAAACAUGUGGGCACCUUCGUCGGUGCAAACGACAGGAAUUUGAGGAGUCUUGGUGGGUUUGACCUCACCGAAAUGAGAAAAAUUUCACUUAUGUCAUUUUAAUAGUUGUAAAAUAGAAAAUCAUGCGUAUUCAUGCUAGAUAGAGCAUAUGUGAAUUUUAGAAUGUUUAAAAUAUAUGUGUUAUGUUUUAUAAAAAAUUACCUCUAUAUAGUAGAGAGAGUUAUGUGUGUUGUUAGCAUGCAUGAGAAUAGCAUCUAUUAUAUGGUUUGGAGUCAUAUUUCUUGCAAUGGAAAUGACUAGAAUGACAUGCUCUUCGAGAUAAAACUUAUGCUUGACAUAGUGGACUUUAAAUGUCAUGAAAUGGCAUUCAACUUAGCAAAUGAUUAAACUUGUAUUUAACGACAUAGUGAUAGGCCAUUGGGAUGUUAGCCUAUAUACCAUGUUUUAGACAUGAUGACAUUAGACUAGAGACGGAUGAUUACGCUUGCUUGCCAUUGUGCUCAUUCGCACAUGCUUGUGAGGGUCGCUCCCCACAAUGCUGCACUUCGGAGAUAGUCAUCGCGACAUAUGCUCGCCCGUGCGGGAUUUGACGCCGAAAUGGGAUGCUGUGGGGGAGGCUCAUUCCUAGAGUGGGAAUGUUGACUACCACGGGCCAUUAGGCAUGGCACAAGUCGGACUACCCACGGGUAGGUCCUAUAUGAACAGAACAUUAUGGAACUAAAAUGCAAAGUGGACAUUAGACAAAUUAAUAAAUAAUGACAUUUUACUAGUUGUACUUGUGGACAUCCUGUUGGUUAUACUUAUGCAUAUUCAUAUUAGAAUAGCAUUUAUAUUUGUGAAAAUUCAUGCUAAAGUAGAGGCAUAGUAGUUAAUGAGUUUAAUUCAUGUUUUAUAUACAUAUUGUUCUUUCCAUUUAAAAGUUGAACAUACUAUUUUUGACUUGUUAGCCUAGUGGUGCAUUUCACUGAGGUCAGUAAUUACCCACUGGGAACUAUUGAUUAAUAGUUUUCACGCCCCCUAUUUUGUUGUUUUCUUACAGAGCCUUCCACCCCGGGAGAGGCUCGAGAUCACGGUAAAAGGAUAGCUACUAGCUAGAUAGCAAUGAGUACUUGAUCUAGAUAGUUCAUCUCUCUAUUUUUGUAUCUAUGUAGAGAGCACGAGUUUUUGUAUCCAUGUAUAAAGACCACCAUUUUUGUACCUCUAGCACUUGUAUUUUGGAUUAUACGAUGUACUACUUCAUGGUUUUAUUAAUGGAUUAGUUCCUUUAUUUACCUCCUUAUUCUAUAAUCUAGUUGUUGUACGCUCUGAUACUCCUAAAUGCUCAUUUAUUAUUGCUUUAUUUAUCGCCUUGUGAAAGUUUUGGGGUGCCCAAGGAUCUAUCUAGAUUGUAUCUAACACCUAAAGGGGGGUGAAUAGGUGUAAUAGCCAAAAACCACAAAUCUCAAUGCGAUAAAAAUAAAUGCAGAAAAUAAAAAUCACAUCGAGAUUUACGUGGAAAAACUCCAACUUGGAGAAAAACCCACGGGACCAACACGCGAAAAAAUAAUUCACUAAGAGAAAAGAUUACAAGGUGAUUACCGACUCCACGGACUCGACCUCUCUUAACCUCGUACGAAUCUCGCGCAAUCCUCUGGGUUGUCCACGCCCUCACGUUCGAAUCCACGAACGCCUCGCACACGUCCGAAUCCACGAACGCCACUCGAAUCCACGAGCCCACGAUCCGAAUCCACGAACCACCUUCAAUCACGCCGAAUCCACGAUGCCAUCCAUGAAAAACAUCAUGCUAUGGUGAUCUUUCGCUUAGAAUGUUGAUGAAGAACCAGAGACCAAACUCUAAGCGAAGUCUUAGAUCCAUUCGACAUUAAGAUCUCGAAUUACGAUAUCUCAAAUUGACCUAAAAGAGGUUAUUUUGUAGAAAAUAGGUUUUGGACAAAAUCCUAGCCUCUAGGGUUUCUCAAACAUGUAUUCUCAUUAUGCUCAAGCUAUUAGAGAACCCCAAUAGUUUAUUUAUAGACUUUAGAAUCAAUUAGAGUCGGAUUUGAAAGCUUUAAACUGUUACCGGUUACACGAUGACAGAAGAGAAAAUCUGUGAAACGCUGUAACCGAUGACAAGUCGCUGGUUGUACCGGAACACAAUUUGUACCGGUAUACUUUCAAUGCUUUACCGGUACACUUUGCAUUUUCCAGCUUUUUGCACAGUUUCGGGUUUUGCAAAGUUUCGACGCACUUUCUAAUCCACUAAACUUUGAUUUUCUGAUUUUAAUGCCUAUAACUAAGUAUGAAUCACCAUAACAUGAAUUAAAAUCUUACCUGAGCAUCGUGAUUCACAUCAUGAGUUAUUUUUUGAUUUCUCCGAAGUUUUGGAUUCUUCAAUCUUCGACGAUACGCACCGAUCCUUCAAGACUCCGACUCAAUCCAUGAAACUUGCCAACACACAAGACUUAACAAUCUCCCCAUUUGGCAAUUUCGUGACAAAACUCACAAACUCAAAAAUUACAUCUUAAAGAAAAACGAAGUUCAAUGUCAUCACCAAAACAUCGAACCCUUCGCAUGUAGUCUAAAUACAAUUUGAAAUUCAUAAAUACAACAAAAACUCCUAAAACAGACUCUAUGACUUAGACGCAACUAGAAGUCUUGAAGUCUUGAUCUCCUGCAAAACAAAAUAUUCAAAAACAAUGUAGAGUUUAAUCAACAUUAAAUUCUUAUACCUUCUCCCCCUUUGUUCUCAAUCACUUCUCCCCCUUUGUUCAUGAAUCCAUCCUCUUCAUCCUCUGCUUUGAUCAAUACCUGUUCUUCUUAUGAUCUCCCCCUUUUUGUCAAAAAUUGCCAAAAGAAAGCAUAUAGAGAGAAAAUCACUAAAACCUGAGAAGCAGUCAUGUCAUAGUUACAGGCCUAAAACAAAUGCUAAAACAAGUAAACCAACCUAAACAUAGUCGUAGGAGAGAAAAUAAAAAACAUAAAUACUAAAACUCGAAAGAUAAAAUCACUCCGUGUCCUCCUCCUCAUCAUCAUCAUCAUCGUCUCCUGCUCCAGUUCCAGAUCCCCCAGCCUCAGGAGCACCACUGGAUGGUGGAAUGAGUGGAUGUCACGACGUAGAUCUUGUAUAGGUGGUGUAGGUAGGAUGGGUAGGAAAUAUAUCGUCAUGCCUACAUCCUAGCUUCUCCAAUAUCCUUUUCAUCCCUACCUCCAACUUUUUGCCAAGUUGCACUACUAUCUUCUUUAAGGAGUACAUCUCAUGGUGAAGUGAUUCUACAGUAAUCACUCCCCCUGAACUAGAAGAUCCCUCGUGCUCUGCACGACGUGGAGGUGCGGAACUAGAAGCUCCUCUUGAAGAUCCCUUAGUCUGCUGAUAGGUCUUCAAAGUACUCACAGACUUGGCCCAUGUCACUGCAUCAAUUGGUCCAAGGCCCACGUCGUAUUUCUCACACGACACGUCUACUCCAUUCUCCUACAAAAUCCUCGUGAUCAAUAGAGAAAAUGGAAGUAGAUCACGUCGCACCGACGACUGUAUAACAUGCACCAUCCGUUGCCACAUAAGGAAGGGAAUGUUGAUAUUCAGCCCAUCUGCCUGCUCCGGGUGACCAAGGAGAUACAAAAGCACCAGUCGAUCCCAUCGAAUCCUCUUGGUUCCAAUAGUUGGUUGCACGUUGUAGCACAUCACCAAGGACAGAAGAUGAUACUCUCGUCGCAAGUCCUUGGACUCCACAUAAGCAUGAUUCGUCCUCACUCCAUCCUUGCAGAUUGCUUGAACAAUAGUCUCCUAGUGGGACGAAGACUGAUACAACCUUGUAGUAUGGUGGAGGCCAGCAGUAUCAACGUGCAUCCUCAAGAGCUCACCAAUCGUGUGAGGAGUGACUACAACCUUCUGCUGCCGCACAUAGGUCUCAAAUAAAUAAGUCCUUGUCUCCUCAUCCUCAGCAAGCACCCUCCCGUUCAUGUAGAACUCCCGAAUGAGUUCCACACAAAAAGGAGCACGAGCAGGAAACCGUCCAACGGGCUCUAUCGGUACCCUCUGAAGCAAGCGUCCAAAUUUCGGAACCUCCUGGAUGAGUUCAUUGAAGUUAACAUAUCGCUCCGCUAUGCAUGAUCUACUCGAAAACGUCCUCUGCCGCUCCGGUAGAACAUCCGCGGCUUGCUUUGAGCGAGUCUCUCGUGCACGAGAGCCACCUCCACGUGAGGAUUCUCCAGCUAUUCCCUUUCCUUUAUCAAUUCGAGCAGUUGGCUCUUCAGCUACCUCCGGGGAGUUCGCCUGAUAAUUCGGAUCAGAACCCGGUGACUCGCCUGCAGUACGAGUCCUCUUGGAAGCCCCUCGACUGUCACUCCCCGCCCCGAAACCACUACCAAUUUGGCACGAUUCGGGCGCGCCAGGCAGACGGCCGAACGGACAGCACCUCCCCUGUCCGCCCAAGGCUCAACAACAAGAAUGUGUAUAAGAAUUUACCCAGGAAUUUUAAAUUCUAAACAUACACAUUCAACGGGGCACAAACAGUGCCAACAACAACAAGAGCAAGUGAUCCACAAGUAAAAACGAGUGAAAUAAAGAGAGUAUUUUUCUAACUAUUACAAUAGUUUUGCAUCUUUUUACAUGUAUACCCUUUUCUCAAGAUGAAUACAUUUGAUCAUCCAAAAUACAUAGCUCUCCAACCUCACCUACAUAAAACUCUCAAAUACAUAGGUGUGCUAAUACAAAAAGGAAAGCUACUAUACUACCACGAUCUCACUGCUCGGGCGCGAUGCCCUUGCCGCGGUCCUCGCUCGGUAAACCUGUACCUACCACUGGAAAUAGAGUGGGGUGAGAACUAUCUUCAAUAGUUUCCAGUGGGCUCGGCCGCCGACUCCGCCGAUCUCCCUACCAGGUCCAAGUGGGCACAAGUAACAACAAGUAGAUAAAUAGAUAAAUAUCUCAAAACAGUAAAGUCAUAAAGAAAAUCUAUGCUACUAUACCCAUAAUCAUGUAUAAUGAAUGCAUGAAUCAUAUAGUAAAGGUUUACUAUCAUGCUAACGAAUUCGAUCCAUAUUCGAAUAAUAAUGUUCAAUGACAUUGUUCACUGUUCUUUUACCCAAUCUGUAGCGAAGCCCUUGGGUUCGCCAAUAACUCACCUUUCAAUCCCAAAGUGGGGAGGGAGCUCCAAGUGCUCCCAAGACCGGGACUGUCUGCGGACCUCCAUGUGGUCCGGACCUCCAAGUAGUCCUAAUCGCCCGACACUCCGAAGUACUCGACGACAAUCCCCUCUAUGUGGGGAUAUGGAUGGCUAUACCACCCCAAAAGCAAACUGUGAGCUAGAUCUAUCCUCUCCGAGUGAGGAUGCCCUACGACUAGGGUCAACAACCCAAUCAAAUCCUCUCCAAGUGAGGAUGCUCUACAACUAGGGUCAACAACCCAAUCAAAUCCUCUCCAAGUGAGGAUGCCCUACAACUAGGGUCAAUAUCUCAAUCAAAUCAUCGACAACCUCUCCAUGUGAUGGUACUUAGGUUUACUAUGUUCUUUGUCAACAAGGCAUUUUCUAAGGGAUCCACCUAUCCCUAAGUUCUCAAACCUCUACUGUCGUUUACACUAUAUUAAUGCCACUCGUUAUUCUUUAACAUUUGGAUGCCACUCGUUUGUUCUUUAACAUUUAGACACCACUUUCUAUGUCAUCAACACCCAUUGUGUUCAUCUCAUUUCUUUAGCACUAUAGGAUCCAUGUUUCGACCCAAUCCUCACCUACCUAAAUCACCAAGCGUUCCAAGUACACUAGGUUAUCAAUUAGAAAGCAUAAGGAAUGGUACUACUAUACAAUCCUACAAUGCAAUAUGUAAGAGAUGAGAUUAAAUGAAAUCUAAGAUAUAGAAAGGAGUUCGAAAGCUUCGGGAUGGCACCCCCCCCAUCUUUUGUAGUCGAUAAUCGUUGUGGAGGUCCUAGAAGUGUUCCUCGGCACUUCAAACCACGUGUUCCCCGCCUCUUUGGGAGAAACGAAGCUAGGUCGGCCCUACUUUGCCGAUAGCUCUAAAUUCACUCGACGAAUCGCGAAAUCGACUUCGCCCCCGCUUUUUGUGACCUAAAAAUUAGGUUUACAAGGCCUCAAAUGAGAUCAAUCUCAUACUUUACUAAAAACCCCAUUUUGGAGCUUUAGGUUUGCACUUAUAGCCAACCACUCAAUCAAAACCCUAGAUUCUAGCAUUGAUCUAUUUAGAAGUAUGCUAGAGGUCCAUUUGACCUAUUUCUAAAGUCAAAAAUCCAAAACCCUAAGUUCACAAAGCUAGGGUUUGGUAGCUUACGUCUUGAACUACACCAAAGAGAAGAGGAGAGGGAGAUGAAGGUGUCCAAGGCCUUCUUCUUGAUCUCCUUCGUCUUCUCCUCCCUUUUUCUUCUUCUCCUUUUCCUUCCUCUCCUCCUUGUUCUUCUUGUUCUUCUUCUCUUUCUAGAGAGAGAGAGGGAGAGUGUAAGGUACUAGACUUCUAAAAUCAUGAAUUUAUGGUGUACAUUUGGUUGGAGAGCUAUUUGAAUGGUUCCGGUGAAGUUCGGUGAAGUUCAGGAGCAAUCGGGCGUUUCGGUGCGCGUAGGCGCGAAAACGGAACCCGAAACGCUAUGUUGGGCCAUGGGCUAAAUCCGGCAUUAGCGCAGAUGAAAAGAUGAUGAAAACAUGUUUGAAAAUAUGUUCGGAGAGUCUCGGUUUGAUUUGAAAUGAAUCGGAGGUCAAACGAACGAAAACGGGCGAAAACGGAGUGAAAACGGACGAAGCUGAAAAUUGGCUAAGUCUGGGCUGGAGGUCUCUCUGGGACCGGUCCCAGGCAGAGAGACCGGUCUCUCAGGGACCUGUCCCUCAUGCAGAGACCGGUCCUCGAACCCCGAAAAUGCCCAGUUCGGGCUGUUGCAAGAAGAGACUUGUUGAGGGGUUUUUAUGCAAUUGUUGCAUGGGUUAAGUGUAUAGAGAGAGUUAGAACCUCUCUCUCUCUCUCCUUCCCCCACCAUUUCAACCCCAACACCAUCCCUCUCUCUCUCUAAACGAAAUAAAAGAAAGGGUAGAAGAGGAAGAAAAGAAAGAAGAGAAGGAGAAGAAGAUCAAGAAGGAGAUCUUCAUCCUCUCCUUCGUCUUCGUCGUGCUUGGAGCAAACCUAGAUAGGUAAGCUUCUUAGCCUCUCAUAGUAGAUCCCUAGAUGUGUGGUUUUGAUCUCUUAAAAUAAUUUAAUUGGAAUCCCGGCAUGCUAUCUAGAUGAGUGAUACCUAAUUCAUGAAGGUAUUUGGUGGUUUUUACCGAAGUCCCAAACUAGGGCUCAAAAAUAGGGUUUUAAGAAAUAGUUGGGUUUGAUCUCAAAUAACCCUCUGUAAACCUAAUUGCUAGGUAAACAAACACGCUGGCGAAGUUGGUUCGGCAAUCCGUCGAGCCGUUACAAAGAUAUUGAAGAAACUGACGAUUUAGCUUCGUUUCCGCUUGGAGGGUCGAGGCGACGUCGUAAAAUCGUGGAAAUGGAUUUAGAGCACCGUGGCACAUAACCGAAGACCUAUAAUUUUCGGGGCUGCAAAGUGGAGCACUGUUGAAGCGCAGUUGCAAUAUCGGACCGUGCCGGAUACGAGUGCCGGGGUGGCCGAUUGCGAGUGUCGACAAGCAAUCGGAACGCGAGUUCAGGUGGGUUGUAUUUACAGAAACGACUAGGUCGCCCUUUAUGUCUAAGAAACAUACGAAUUCAUAUUGAUGCAUGUUAAUAAAAUGACAUAGCUAAUGCAUGUGGACAAUGUGAUGCAAAAUGCUAAGUAGAUGCAUGUAAGAUGAUGUAAUAUAGAAAUGCUAGAAUACAUGAUGGCAUUUCAUUAGCCCGGCUUACCCGAGCCAACCUACCCAACUCAUCUCAUUAGAAAAUAAAAAACAACCUAACCUGAAAUAUAAAUCCGUAAUCAUUUAAAAAAAAUUUCAAAACCGUAUUUAUCCUGUGAAUGUGUUUUCACAGGGUUUGAACACAGGGAUAUUGAAUUAAGAUAACAUCACAUACAAAUUCUACAUUAGAAUAUAAUUUAUCAUUCUUUUAUUUAUCUUCACGGUCGGAUAACCCUAAUUUAACUCUUCCAGGAUGUAACUAUGAUGGGUUUACCGAAUGUGUAUAUCUUUACACAAUAAUUAUAAAUAUAAGUACAUCACAGAGACCCCAAAUCACCAGCCUGAUUGCCGUCGUAGUCACCGAACAGCUGUGAAAACAUCUCACAGCCCUGCUCGGUCUCAGUAAAACCGCACUUUAUCUGCACUUUUGCCUGAGCCUCGACACUCCCAACCUCAAGCCUGUGAUUUUAUACGUUUUUAUCUUAAAACUCACAACACAUAGCUAGUACACUCCUCAUGGCCAUGGGGUCUUCCUAAUGUACUUAUCCACGAGAGCCCAAACACGUCGAACCACAAAACAUGGCCAUGGACAACCACUCAUGGCCAUGACCCUGACCCAUAGCUAUGAUGUAGCCCGGUCAUGACCAUGUGGCGUGAGCCCAAACGAGCUCCUCACAGCCCAUGGCCAUGGAUUCAACUCAUGACCAUGAGGUCCGCCGUUUCACUCAACCAUUCCCCAGAAAACCAAUAAAACGACAGCUAUUUAGGAUUGGAUAGGGGUCAGUUAGAGAAACACAAUCUUCGAACCUCUUUUGUCCAUCGAAGAUGAGAAAAGAGAGAGAUCGAAGAGAAGAGUGAAAGAAACACUUAAACCCUUAGCUAGACUAAAAGCAAAAGGGAGAUCCAAUUACAAACUAUCACAUUCCACCAGCAUUACGGGAGCAUGGAGAAGCGACUAGUGAAGAUCCCGUAAAGCUCUGAGCCCCUGUUGAAACAAACCGCUCUGCUCCGAGAUGCGCUGCCAAGCCACCCAAACUGGAUCGGUGUGUUACUAUUUAAGAGUAAACACGAAUUAAUUCAUAACAAUUUACCUUUUCGUACGUAUAAGAAUAACAUAUAUAAAUAACACUUAAAAUCUUACGAAUUUUCCAGAUACAACAUAUACUACUUUAAAACCUGGAGAUACCUCAUCUCUCAUUGAACCAUCCGGAUACCAACGUAAAUCGCAAGUUAAACUCUGAACCAAAGUACGAAGAUAUCACAUUUACUCGAAACUAGGUACGUAAAUUUGAAUUCAAAUAAACUUUGUACUUUCUACUGUUUAACGGUAUAUCUCCAUAACUUGAUCUUACAUACACUUGAUCUCUCGAUUACAGUAGUUCGCCAUAACUCGAGCCCUGUACACACUUGGAUCACCUAUCCCGGUAACUCCUUACACUUUGUACGAAUUAAUAAUUACAGAUUCACAGUAUUUCCCCGUGAUCUGGAUCUCUUCCAACCCUGAAGUGAACACUGAAUCUUGAUCUAGAAGCUCUACGAUCACCUAUAUGGUACAAUCUCUGUACUCCCAACCUAUGAACUCGGUAGCUGUUGCGAACAAACGGUAAACACGAGUAAGCGUGUACGAACACUCCCAGCGAGGGAUGUUCGGCCGUGAGGCCUCAAUCGGAUGCACUGGAUACAAGCGAGCACGCCAUAACUCUUCGGAUGCCCCAGCUCACCCUGUCUGUGUAAGGUUCUCAUCCCUACAACCCGAUGGUGUCCGUGAAUCCGCCGUGUUCGACCUGAUGGAACCCUCCAGGAAUUUAACCUUUACCUUUAGCUGUGCCACAACUUAUACUUGUUAGUGAUGAUCUAUCCUAAUCAUCAACCUAAUGAACCUGUGCGAAUACUAUAUCGUAACCAUGUAAAUCAUAUGAACGGCCAAAGUAAUAACGUAGCAUCAUAUGAGCCAACAAACCUAUCUCAAAUGGGAAUACGUAACUGUAUAACGUAGCACGCCAAAUGAACAAAUAAUACAACUCUGUAUAAUCAUACGUAGCCUAUAUAAUGGAAUACUAUCGCAUCUACAUGUAGUGGUACUGUAGUACGAAUAACCUCUGUAUCAUCAUAUCGUAAAGUAAGUACGAAAGAAAGUCGUCAAAAGUACAAGCGAUAAAUAACGUAUAAUGAUAUACAGCAAUAAAUGGGAAAAGAAAACCCCGGAUCACCACGUAACUCGACUCCAGUCAUUAACGGGUGACCCUUGAUAUUUAAUAUCAAGAGUGCGGGAGAAGAAGAGCUACAAAAAGUCUCGGAAGGUGCGUCCCACUCCGGUCCCUGGCGCCCUUCCCUCAACGAAGCUCGAUCGAAGGAAGCUCCUGCUGAACGAUCCACCAGGUGGAGAGCUACAUAUAAAGAAAACGCUCUCCAACUCCUCAAAUGGUUACAUGAUCUCUGGUGGUAAAAACAUAAUCUCUGUCUAUAACAUGAUGAAUACUGAGGAAAAUAACAAAUCGAAAUGAAGACAUGAAACCACAUCUACAAUCUAGAUAUGAGCGAGACUAUAGUAAUCAACGAUCAAUAAAGUGGAGAAGAUAAACAGGAUGAUAAACGAAAAUGAAGGCGAAAAAAAGAUCUGCGGAAUAUACACAUCUGUAUACCGCCCAGACCCGUGCGAUGGCCCUCCCGGAGGCGACCAGGGCCCCGCACUGUUGCAAUUAUACGNNNNNNNNNNNNNNNNNNNNNNNNNUGGAUUCCGGAAUCCCGAGACUUGUGAACUCAAUAGUUCUUGGACCGCGGGUGUAUGUGGCAUGUUCCUCUCCCACCGGAAGAACUUUGAGGAUUGUGACUGAGCAAGAACAAAAAGCGCUAGGGUGUAUGCGGUAUGUUCCUCUCCCUAUCGGGGAUCUUGGCUAUUGGUGUAUACGGCAUGUUCCUCUCCCACUGGCGGAUCCCUGACCACGGUGCACGGACCUUCGGGCGGACCGUUGGGCGAUUUAGUUCUUGGCUUGCAGGCUGAGGUGCAUGUGACAGGGUCCUUCACCUCGAGCCGGGCAGAGCACGGAUUAUCCGCAGUUGAUUGACUCGAGACCGAGUCGGGUGGCUAGCUGGAAUAAGGUAGAUAGAACCUUGAGGGCUAGUGGUAAAUGUGUUUAACCUAAGGUGAUAGAGACCUUAGAGUUGGAUGAUAUGAACUAGAGUUAGCGAGAGUGAAUGUAGAACCAAUAAUUCUACUAGUGGUUGCAUAUAUUCAUGUUGCAUAUAGCAUGGCAUCAUUGCAGUUGUGAGGCAAAGCAAGGUAAAGUUAGUUGCAUGUUUAUGAUAUACAUAUCUAUCUGUUUAUUGGACUAACUUGUAUUUGCCUCCCUUGGACCUGUUGGUCGAGCUCCUCCCCUGGGAACCAUGGAGUUGGUUCUCACCCCACAUUGUUUUGGGGUGUUGCAGGUCCGUACGUGAGCGGUGCGGCGGUGCGAGGCAAGGGCGUAGCUCCAUAGAUAGCGCCCUACCCCAGAGACUAGAGAUAGAGACCAGAGAUAGCGGUACCCCAAGUCGGCAUUGCUUAGGGGUAUAGGAAAGGGAAAGGAACACAAUGUAUCAAAUUUGUAAUAUUAAUUGUAAUAACUUAAUUGCAUUUGGAAGUUGAAUGUGAUGUAAAAAUGAAUCUAAUGUGAAUGUAUGUAAUAACAUAGGAUGUGUUAUAUUGUUGAUACCUUUUCAUUUGCAAUCUAUGAUUGAAUACUGUUCCUGGUUGGAACCACUUAUAUUGUUUUGAUUGCGACGCCUAGGACGUAUAGGGGAAACUCUGUCCGUUCGGCGGUCUGUCGGCGUGCCCGAACCCGACCAAAUAGGCGGGGCGCGGGGCGUGACAGAGAGAAUAUGAGAGGGAGUGAGAGAGUGAGGGAAUGAGAAUGAGAGAGAGGAGAGAGCUCAUCCUCUCUAUAGCCCUCUCUAAUGUAACAAAAUCCACUUUAGCCCCUUAACUUCCACCUCUAUACACUGCCUUUACUGGGCAGAAUUCGUGCGGAGGGACAGGUCUCCGCGACUUGGGACCGGUCCCCGAGAGCAGCCCAUGCUGCUGGGGCCCUUCUCGCAUUCGGGAACCGGUCUCUCCCCGGGAGACCAGUCCUCGGGAGACCGGUCCUCGCCUGAGAGACCGGUCCCCGAGAGCUCGAUUUUCAGGACUUAGCCGAUUUUGGCCUUCUCUCGCUGGCGUCGCACAUGGGGACCGGUCCCCUCAGCCAGGGACCGGUUGCAUCAAAGAUCCCCAGCAACCACCAGCCUCGGGGACCAGUCUCUCCCUACCAGGGACCGGUCCCCGAGAGCAACUUCAGCCCAGUGCAGGUUUUGCACUAUAUGCUCUCGCGGACUCAACUCCAAUACACUUUUUGUGUUUUGGAUAACUUUAGCUUUCCCGAAGGAUACUCACUCGACAAUUAGUCGAUCCGGGAUGAAGUACAACUCUCGGAUUUCGAGAAUUCACUUCCUUACAUCGACGACCUCUACCGCCACCACGACCACGUCCAGUGACCAUCAGCACCAAAAGUAUCAAUACGAGCGAGAACGCCAUUUUUCCUACAAAAAAAUGAGCCUUGCAUGAACAAAUUUUCAAUAAAAAUCUGUAAAAAUAGUGAAAAUUUUUCUAAUAAUAUUAGAAUGCAUAACACCACUAUUUCUAACUAAAUCAUACAAAAUUUUCAUCAAAAAUUGAUUUUCAUCAAAAAUUUUUAAAUUCCACAUACAUGGAGGUACAGAUCACAGAUCAACAAAAAAUAUAGCAUUAUACCCUGAUCUAAGUGUUCUAGAAGCAAGAAUAUAUGUCUAAACACUGAUUCACAGCAAAAAAAUGGCAUAAAAAAUUAUCAAAAACAGAAAUCAUGCUUCAACUCGGAAUUUUUCCGAAAAAUUACAAGAACGCAAGCAAAUGAUUAAAUCUGAGGAAGAUACUCACAAAUCUUUGGAGAAAACGAGUGGAUCUGGAGGAGAAGGUCACCUGGGAUUUUUUGAGAGAGAAAAAGAGAAUUUUGGUUUUGAUUUGGGUGAGAAACGAAAUCCCGUAACCGGUUAUAAAACACGGUCUAUAGUUAUUUUGUACCGGUACACGGUAUUUUGUACCGGUACACUUUCCCAGAUUUCGAAAAUUGUGAAUUUUUUCCUCAAAACUCAUUCAAAAUCAAAUUAAUUUCAUAAGAAUUUAAAAGUUGUACUCCAAAAAUCAUUAUGAUGAAAAUAAAUUAUUAUAAGAUUUCAAAUUACACCGAAUCAUCAAAAUUUGUUAUCGAAAAUAAUCUAAUGAUUAAUCCUAUAAAGAUAAAGUUGGAUUUUUGGAGCAUCAAUUUGAGGAAUCGCACAACUCCAAUCAAUCCUUGACCGAUCAAGUUCGUCAACUCCAAUCCGAUAUUCAAAAGUUUUCUUCGGGAUCAAAAAAAUUGGAUCAUAUGCUUGGAUUGGGUCAAACGAACAAACUUGGCCUCGGAUAUGAAAGAACGUAUGUUGAGAAGGAUCAAAAGUCAACAUCUAAAGUCUCAACAACUUUAACCGAAAAGGUGUGUCAUAGAUGUGGCAUCAAAGGACACAUCAAAAAGGGUUGCUCGAACAAGACUAAGAAGAAUCAAUCGGCAACUUCAAAACAUCAAGUGGCACCCUCUACUACUCGACUUCCCCUACGGAAUUCAAAGAAAAAUCAAUUGAGUCGAGCACCUCGAGGGAAUCGGUUUUCCAAUGCUCAACAUCAAGUCCAACCGAACCAACAAGCAAGCCGAAAUUAUAAGCCGCAACGUCAAUUCCAAUCGAAACCUCAAGCGAAUCGGGCUUCUAAAUCACAACGGCAAUUCCAAUCGGAGCUUCAAGCAAUGAAACGAUCAAUGGUUGAUCCAAAAUCAAAACAAGGUGUACCUAACGUCGACAAGCCAAGACAACCAACAAUCCGACAAGUGUGGAUCUGGAAAGGUGAUAUCUUACCUUGCUCCUUGUCUUAGUUUGUUUUAUUGAUAAUGUAAUGCUUUGUUUGGUGCUUAUUGCAUAUUUGUAUUCAUUGCAUUACAUGUUUGGACGAUUUUUUGUACUUGAAUUUUAUGUGUCUUUAAAAUCUUUUGAGGAAAGGUGAUAGGGAAUUAAAAAUUUCUUUGAGAAAAGAGAUGAUUGAAAAUCAUUAUUUUGGGGGAGAUUAAAUUCUUUUCAAAGUGUUUUAAACGGUAUUUUCAUAUUUAUAUUAAAUUAAAUUCAUAUUAAUUAUCGGUUUUACUCCACUUUUUAUUAUUUUGACGAUAAUUGAUUAUAUGAAUUCUUAAUACAUAUAUUCAUCAAAAUUUUGAAAUCAAUUUUGAUCUCUUGGUGAUUAAUUCAUCUUGGUUGUGAGUGUUGAAUAUGAUAGAUGGGUAUUCGCUAAUAGACCAAAAUUUGUCAAAAUUAUUUUCAAUUGUGAGAUUGUCUAAUUUAGGAGGAGUUUGGAUAUUUAAAAAAAAAAAGAAAAAAUAAACUCCUAUGUUUAAAAGAUGUGGAAAGAGUUACAUCCAAAAAGAGUGUGAAAACUACGUACCACCACAUGUAGGAAAGAGCUACUACCCCGGUCGUCCGACAAGUGUGUGAAGCUACCACAUGGAAAUUAAUUGAAUAAGCGAAAAGGUUGAAUAAAAUAAAUAUAUUAGAAUUUUCGGAGGUAUAAGGUGGUAGGAUGAAAAGAUGCUCAAAGAGUCACCCCCGGUGCCAUAUUAGUUAAAUCUCUAUUUUGAACGAGCCGCUUCAUCAAGCUGCUCUUGGAGGACCGAAUUAUUCUUCAAAAUUGAUUCCCUUUCCUCCUCAAGGCUUUAUUCAUUGUCUUCAAGUUGUUGUUUUCCUCUUCGAGAUCCAACAAAUGACGCCUCAACUUCUUAUUAAGUUUUGCCAUCUUCUUUGAUUCAAUAAGGAGUUAAUUAUACGCUUCCGCUAUAUCCUCGUCGUUUGAUUUCUCCUCAUUUUCGCCGUUGUCGCUCGAAGACCCAUGCAAGGAAGAAACAUUGGAAUUAGAAAUAAUAGAAGAUAAGCAAACAACAUUAGACGAAGGCAAAGAACUGUUAGUAAACAAAGCAAGUUCAUUCUUUCCUUCGUCACUUGAACUUCAUUCACUAGAAGUUGAAUGAUCCCAAGUCUUUGCUUGCAAAGCCUUUUGUCUAUAUAUUGUUUUUAAAGGACAAUCUGUUGCUGUCACGCCUCGCCCCGAAACCACUACCAAUUUGGCACUAUUCGGGCGUGCCGGGCGGACCGCUGAACGGACAGCACCUCCCCUGUCCGCCCAAGGCUCAACAAUAGGAAUGUGCACAAGAAUUUACCCAGGAGGCCAGGAAUUUCAAAUUCUAAACAUACAUAUUCAACGGGGCACAAACAGUGCCAACAACAACAAGAGCAAGUGAUCCACAAAUAACAACGAGUAAAAUAAAGAGAGUACUUUACUAACUAUUACAAUAGUUUUGCAUUUUUUAUAUAUACAUCCUUUCCUCAAAAUGAAUACAUAUGUUCAUUCAAAAUACAUAGCUUUCCAAAUCCUCACCUACAUGAAUCUCUCUCAAUACAUAGGUGUGCUAAUGCAAAAAGGAAAGCUACUAUACUACCACGGUCUCACUGAUAGGGCGCGAUGCCCUUGCCGCGGUCCUCGCUCGGUAAACCUGUACCUACCACUGGAAAUAGAGUGGGGUGAGAACUAUCUUCCAUAGUUCCUAGUGGGCUCGGCCGCCGACUCCGCCGAUCUCCCCACUAGGUCCAAGUGGGCACAAGUAAUAACAAGUAGAUAGAUAGAUAGAUAUCUCAAAGCAAUAAAGGCAUAAAGGAAAUCUAUGCUACUGUGCCCAUAAUCAUGUAUAAUGAAUGCAUGCAUCAUAUAGUAAAGGAUUACUAUCAUGCUAACGAAUUCUAUCCGUGUUCGAAUAAUAAUGUUCAAUGACAUUGUUCACUGUUCUUUUACCCAAUCUAUAGCGAAGCCCUAGGGUUCGCCAAUAACUUACCUUUCAAUCCCAAAGUGGGGAAUGAGCUCCAAGUGCUCCCAAGCCCGGGACCAUCUGCGGACCUCCAUGUGGUCCGGACCUCCAAGUGGUCCUAAUCGCCGACACUCCGGAGUACUCGACGACAAUCCCCUCCAUGUGGGGAUACGGAUGGCUAUACCACCCCAAAAGCAGACUGUGAGCUAGAUCUAUCCUCUCCGAGUGAGGAUGCCCUACAACUAAGGUCAACAACCCAAUCAAAUCAUCGACAACCUCUCCAUGUAAGGGUACUUAGGUUUACUAAGUUCUUUGCCCACAAGGCAUUUUCUAAGGGAUCCACCUAUCCCUAGGUUCUCAAACCUCUAGUGUCAUUUACACUACAUUAAUGCCACUCGUUAUUCUUUAACAUUUGGAUGCCACUCAUUUGUUCUUUAAUAUUUAGAUACCACUUUCUAUGUCAUCAACACCCAUCGUGUUCAUCUCAUUUCUUUAGCACUAUAGAAUCCAUUUUCCGACCCAAUCCUCACCUAUCUAAAUCACCGAGCAUUCCAAGUACACUAGAUUAUCAAUUAGAAAGCAUAAGGAAUGGUACUACUAUGCAAUCCUAUAAUGCAAUAUGUAAGAGAUGAGAUUAAAUGCAAUCUAAGACAUAGAAAGGAGUUUGAAAGCUUCGGGAUGGCACCCCCCACCUUUUACCGAUGUAGAGGCUUUAGAAAUGUUCCUCGGCGAACUUUACGAAAAGGCUUUAGCCUUCCUUGGUCCAAGAUAAAGCUAAAUCGGUCGUAUUUUGCCGAUAGCUCCAAAUUCACUCGACGAAUCGCGAAAUCGACUUCGCCCCCGCGUUUUGUGACCUAAAAAUUAGGUUUACAAGGCGUCAAAUGAGAUCAAUCUCAUACUUUACUAAAAACCCUAUUUUGGAGCUUUAGGUUUGCACCUAUAGCCAACCACUCAAUUAAAACCCUAUAUUCUAGCACUGAUCUAUUUAGAAGCAUGCUAGAAGUCCAUUUGACCCAUUUCCAAAGUCAAAAACCCAAAAACCCAAAGUUCACAAAGCUAGGGUUUGGUAGCUUACCUCUUGAGCUACACCAAAAGAAGAUGAGAGGGAGAUGAAGGUGUCCAAGGCCUUCCUCUUGAUCUCCUCCUUCUUCUCCUCCCUUUUUCUUCUUCUCCUUUUCCUUCCUCUCUUCCUUGUUCUUCUUGUUCUUCUUCUCUUUCUAGAGAGAGAGAGGGAGAGAAUAUGAGAGGGAGUGAGAGAGUGAGGGAAUGAGAGAGGGAGAGAGAAAUUUCCCAUGUAUACCCCUCAUCUAAUGGCCAUUUUGCACUUAAACCCCUCCACUUUUCCAUCCUUGCACAGCCCUCACUGGGCUGUUUUCGCGCGGAGGGACCGGUCUCCCCGACUUGGGACCGGUCCCCGAGAGCAGCCCAUGCUGCCAGGGGCCCUUCUCACGUUCGGGAACCGGUCUCUCCCCGGGAGACCGGUUCCUCUCGAAGAGACCGAUUCCCAAGAGCCCGAUUUUCAGGACUUAGCCAAUUUUUGGCGUUUCUCGCUGGUGGCGCGCCGGGGGACCGGUUUCAUCAAUCCAGGGACCGGUUGCAUCAAGAUCCCCCGCAGCCACUAGUCUCGGGGACCGGUCUCUCCCUGCCAGGGACCGGUCCCCGAGAGCAAAAAUCUGCUCAGUGUAGAUUUUCAUUCCUUAGCUCUCGUGGACUCUCUUUCAAGGCACUUUUUGUGUUUUGGACAUCUUUAACUUCCCCAAAGGGUAUUCUCUCGACAAAUAGUCAAUCCUGGACGAAGUACAACUCUCGAAUUUCGAGAAUUCACUUCCUUACAGUUGCAAUAUGGCCGUUCCCUUUACAUUUGUAGCAUUGGAUUUCCCCUUCAAAUUCAUCUUUUUCUUUUGAAGACUUUGCAAGUUUCUUAUCUUUAGAUUUAGAAGAUAAAGAUGAUUUAGAAAAGGAUUGUUUCUUAGACGAUGAAGCCUUGUCCAAUUUAUUCUUCCGAAAAUUCCGACGAAACUUCUUCGUGAGGAAGGCUAAUUGAUGUUCGAAAUCAGCAAGCGAAACAUCUCCGUCGGAAUCUGAAUCUUCGUCUUUUUUCUUUGUCGAUUUGAGUGCAACCCAUGUACUUUUAGAAGAAGACUUGGCAAAAGAUUAAUUAGUAGGAAAAGUCAUUUCAUAAGUUUGCAAAGCGCGCACCUACUAAUUUUUCGAUUUGAGUGCAACCCCUGUACUUUUAGAAGAAGACUUGGCAAAAGAUUGAUUAGUAGGAAAAGUCAUUUCAUAAGUUUGCAAAGCACCUACUAAUUUUUCGACUUUCAUCUCGUCCGGAUGCUUAACGGUUUCGAUCGCGGCAACCUUUGCCCGAAAGCGUUCCGGAAGAGUCCGAAGUAUUUUUCUUACAACCUUUGAAUCCAGGAUUUUUGCUCCCAAGUUCGCGCAUGUAUUAACAACAUCUUGAAGUCGCGUAUAGUACUCGGUAAAGGUCUCAUUUUCUUUCAUAAAAAUUGAGUCAAAUUUGCUCGUUAACAUUUGUAAUUUUUGGACCUUUACUAAGCUAGUUCCUUCAUGCGUAACUUGUAGAGUAUCUCAAAUCUCUUUGGCGGUAUUACACGCCAAAACGAGAGUGAACUCCGUUUGAGACAAUGCAUUAAAUAAAGCGUUUAUGCCCUUGCCGUUAAACGAAGAUGACUCGUUCUCUCAUCUUUUGUCCACUUGUUCCGCAGUUUAGGAACGGUAGCAUUAUCGACAACUUCGGUAGGAUGUUUUCAUCCGAAUUCGAUAGCUUUCUACACCCGCUCAUCGAUUGCGAUUAGAAAAGCUCUCAUGCGAACCUUCCAAUAGGCAUAAUUUGUGCCAUCGAAGAGUGGUGGUCGAUUAAUGUUACCGCCUUCGGCCAUUAGAUAGCAAUAUAUCUAGAUCACGCUCUUAUACCAAUUGAAAGUUUUGGGGUACCCAAAGAUCUAUCUAGAUUGUAUCUAACACCUAGCGGGGGGUGAAUAGGUGUAAUAGCCAAAAACCAUAAAUCUCAAUGCGAUAAAAAUAAAUGCGAAAAAUAAAAAUCACAUCGAGAUUUACGUGGGAAAACUCCAACUUGGAGAAAAAAUCACGGGACCAACACGCGAAAAAAUAAUUCACUAAGAGAAAAGAUUAUAAGGUGAUUACCGACUCCACGGACUCGGCCUCCCUUAACCUCUUACGAAUCUCGCGCAAUCCUCCGGAUUGUCCACGCCCUCACGUUCGAAUCCACGAAUGCCUCGCACACGUCCGAAUCCACGAACGCCACUCGAAUCCACGAGCCCACGAUCCGAAUCCACGAACUGCCUUCAAUCACGCCGAAUCCACGACGCCAUCCAUGAAAAACAUCAUGCUAUGGUGAUCCUUCGCUUAGAAUGUUGAUGAAGAACCAGAGACCAAACUCUAAACGAAGUCUUAGAUCAAUUCGACAUUAAGAUCUCGAAUUACGAUAUCUCGAAUUGACCUAAAAGAGGUUAUUUUGUAUAAAAUAGAUUUUGGACGAAAUCCUAACCUCUAGGGUUUCUCAAACAUCUAUUCUCAUAAUGCUUAAUCUGUUAGAAAACCCCAAUAGCCUAUUUAUAUAGACUUUACAAUCAAUUAGAGUCGGAUUUGAAAGCUUUUCAGAUUUUUACAUUGUGUACCAGUACACUUUUAAGCUAUUACCGAUUACACGAUGACGGAAGAGAAAAUCUGUGAAACGCUGUAACCGGUGACAAGUCGCUGGUUGUACCGGAACAUAAUUUGUACCGGUACACUAUCAAUGCUGUACCGGUAUACUUUGCAUUUUCCAGCUUUUUGCACAGUUUCAGGUUUUGCAAAGUUCCGACGCACUUUCUAAUCCACUAAACUUUGAUUUUCUGAUUCUAAUGCCUAUAACUAAGUAUGAAUCACCAUAACAUGAAUUAAAACCUUACCUGAGCAUCGUGAUUCACAUCGUGAGUUAUUUUUCGAUUUCUCCGAAGUCUUGGAUUCUUCAAUCUUCGACGAUACACACCGAUCCUUCAAGACUCCGACUCAAUCCACGAAACUUGUGAACACACAAAACUUAACACCUUGUUGUAGAUGCCUUAUAUGUUGUAGGCAUAUGGCGGGUCUGGAUACGCACCGAGCAGGCUUCCGCUGGAUCCCGCGGCGUGACAAACCCGCCGAACACAUAGAAGCUUUCCGUGUAUACGAAGAGAUGGUUGACCUACAAACUAAUAAAUAUAAUUACAAAAAGUACAGAGCUGCUAAAACCAAAAUAUAUAUAAAAAAGGCCCACUGUACAUACAACUUUCCAAAAUGCAUCUCUGUCCAUCCAACAUACAAGUUAAAACCUUAUCACAAAAUGCGUAAAUAAAAUAACCGUAUGUAUAUGGCAACUCCCAAAAAGAAAUUGUCUCUAGUAAGGGUACUCCUCUAGUAUGAUGACCGAGGUAAACAAGGAUCUAGUGUUGGCGGCUUAAAUAGGCUAGUAUCCUGCCCUGUGGCGGGAGGCUAUGUCUGGACCGAGUCAUGUUCGAAAUGGCGUGAGAAUGGGUUGGGCCGAGUCAUGUUCGAAGUGGCGUGAGGUUGGUUGGGCCGAGUCACAAUCGAGACCCGUGGCCGUUGUAUCUGUAUAUUUUAAGUGAAUUAGUUACAUAUUUCUAACAGCUUGAACUUUUGGGAUUAAUGGUUAGCAUUAACGAUCCGACAAGUGGUAUCAGAGCCAAACGUCACGGGUUCGAUUCCCGUAUGCUGCAAAUGUGUGCAGGUGCUAGAGGGAGGAUUAUUGGCUUAAAUGAGCCAGCAUUCUGCCCUGUAGCGGGAGGCCAUGUGUGGGCCGAGUCAUGUUCGAAAUGGCAUGAUGCUCGGUUGGGCCGAGUCAUGUUCGAAGUGCCAUGAGGCUGGUUGGGCCGAGUCACAAUCGAGACUCGUGGGUGUUGUAUCUGUAUGCUUUAAGUGAAUUGGUUCCGUAUUUCUAAUAGCUCAAGCUUUUGGGAUUAAUGGUUAGCGCCAACGAUCCGACAUCUAGCUCGCGAUUCCCUUAUCUCAAUCAGAAGCAGCAGCAGCGGCAAUCGGCGGCUCUACAAGAAAAGUUGGCAACAACGGGUGUGAAAACUACUAUAAAAUAAAGUAGCCCUCAGUGGGCACCAUCACCAACCUCAACGGCCUACCCACUAAGUCUACGAGAUAAUAAUAUAGUUGAUAGGUAAAGAAACAGUAAGGUAAGCUUGAUUAAAACUCUAUAGUUACUAUUCCACUACCCUACCGCUAUGCACAUCAAGAUCUCUACAAACAUAUGCAUCACUAGCUAAUAAAACAAUCCUCACUGACCCAAUCCACAGGAACUGCGAUACUCCCGUCCCGCCUGUUUAUGCUACAUCAUACACCACCCUGAGGGCAACCGGUGGACAGCAAAAGUCAAACCUAGACUACUAAAACAUCAACGCAAGAUAGCCAGACUCCGGAGCGGCACUCGUGGGAGCAACCUAACCGAGUAUGCAAGCGUAUCUCUGUCGAGCUUAAUCAAGUUCAUGCAGGCUAAAAUCAAUACGAAUGGGUCAAAUAGGUCUAACAACCAAGGCUCACGUGCCCUCGGCAUAAUCUGAUGCAAGAAGUAAAGAUCUGGGUCCACCAUCAGCUCCGACGGCAUCCAACUGUACGAAACAACCUAACUCUGCUGUAAAAAUAGGCUCUGCACCUCACCACGAGCGUAAUCUCAACUACACUAAACUAAGUAUUUACCUCGUACUAAUAGCGGGGAUACAAGAGUAAAAACAUCUCCCAAAGCUAAAUCUGUUAACAUUCUCGAAAAGUGACAUUUGUAGUUUUAAUAAGUUUUCUCCUAAGUCAAGUCCCAAUUCAGCAUGUAAAAAUUUAUCUAAAAUUAUUAAUCAUACUCCAAAUUCAGAUUUUAUUUAAAAACACGCAAAUCCUUAAAUUCGAGCUAACUGUGUGACACAUUAUUGUAGAUCACAAAUAUUUCCCCCAUAACUGAAAGGGCAAGUAUAAGAGCCAACAUCAGCCUCUGUUUCAACUCUUCGAAGCUUCUCUGGCAGUCCUCACUCUAAAUAAACUUGAUUUCCUUUCGAGUUAAUCGAGUGAGGGGUAUGGAAAGCUUCACAAAGCCUUUCACAUACCAACGAUAAUAUCCUACUAAUCCAAGAAAACUCCUGACCUCAGUAAUCGUCAUCGGUCUUGGCCAAUUCGGAAUCACAUUAAUGUUCUUCUAAUCAACUGCCACUCCAGCAACUAAAAUCACGUAGCCCAAGAAGAAAACCUCUUGAACCUAAAACACGCACUUUUUCAACUUGGCAUACAACUUCUUCUCUCUCAGUAGCUGUAAUACAAUCCUCAAGUGCUCCUCGUGCUCCGCAUCAAUCUAGGAGUAAAUCAGGAUAUGAUCAAUAAACACCACUACAAAUCUAUCUAGGAACAACUUAAAUACUCGAUUCAUUAAAUCCAUUAAAGACGGCAGAGGCAUUGGUUAAUCCAAAAGACAUCACUGUAAACUCAAAAUGCCCUUACCGUAUCCGAAAGGUCGUCUUGGGAAUGUACUCGACUAUCACCUUCAAUUGGUGGUAACCCGACUGCAAAUUAAUCUUCGAAAAAAUACAAGAUCAUUGCAGCUGAUCAAAAAGAUCAUCGAUGCGCAGUAAAGGAUACUUGUUCUUGAUAGUCACUUCAUUCAACUCUUGAUAAUCUACACGAAGUCUAAUUGAAACAUCCUUCUUCUUCACAAAUGACACUGGCGCUCCCAAAGGAGACACACUGCAUGGGUCUCAUAAAUUCUUUUUCCAUCAGAUCCUGGAACAGUGCCUUAAGUUCUCUCAGCUCAGCCGGUGCCAUUCGGUACGGUGCCUUUGAAAUUGGCGCAGUUUCUAAAACCACGUCAAUCACAAAUUCAAUCUCCCUGUUCGGCGGCAUAGUCAUUAACUCAAGGGAAAACACAUUUGGGAACUCACGAACUAUGGGAAUAUCCUCGAGUCCUGGUGUCGCCGUGGGCACCUCUACAACAGUCGCCAGAAACACAAUACAUCCUUGAUUCAUCAUCUGUCUUGCCAUCGCUGAUGAAAUCUAGGUGGCAAAUUGCAUACUCCUGCAACCCCUAUAAACAAACUCCUCCUGGCCUGGCUCGCGGAAUGUCACCGUCCUAGCUCCACAAUCAAUCGUCGCAAAAUAGCGCGUCAGCCAAUCCAUAUCGAGAACUACAUCAAAAUCCUAUAGCUAUCCUAAGACCAAUAGGUCUGCAGGCAUAAUCCAAGGUCCCAACUGCACUAGACAUGUCAUACCCUGAAUUCUCCAGAUCCGAGAGUUGCACUUCGUCCAGAAUCGACUAAUGGUCGAUUGGAUAAGCUUUGGAAAAGCUUAGGAUGCACAAAAUCCAAGAAGUGCAUUGGAAUGGAGUCCGCGAGGGCAAAUCAUGCAAAUUGCAUUAUUGGGCUGAAGUUGCCCUCGGGGACUGGUCUCUGGUUGGAGAGACCGGUCCCAUCAGCUGAAGGCUGCGGGGUCGCUGAUGCAACCGGUCCCUGGCAGGGGAGGGACCGGUCCCAGCCUGCGACACUAGUGAGAAGAGCCAGAAAUUGGCUAAGUCCCGCGAGAUGAGCUCUCGGGGACCGGUCUCUGGUGGGCGGACUGGUCUCCCGAGGACCGGUCUCUCAGGGAGAGACCGGUUCCCGAACGCGUGGAAUCGGGGAGAGCUCUCGGGGACCGGUCCCUGGUCGAGGAGACCGGUCCCUCAGCGUGCAGAAUCCCCAGUGAGGGCUGUGUAAGAGGUGAAAAGUGGAGGGACCUUUGGGGAUAUUGUUACAAAAUGAGAUAGGGUAUUAGAGAGACCUUUUCCUUUCUCUCUCUCUCACUCCCUCAGCCUCUCUCUUUCUCUCCGGUCGUGCAAGGGAGGAGAAGAAGAAAAGAAGGAAAAGAGAGAAAGAAAAGAGAAGAAGAAAAAGAGAAAGGAAAGGAGAAGAAGAAGAGGACCAAGGAGGAGAUCCUCUUCCUCAUCUUCAUCUUCAUCUUCCUCUCCCCUUGGAGCUCUUGGAGAGGUAAACUUCCAAGCCCUCUCAUGGUAGAUCUCUUGUGAUGGGUUUUUAAACCCUAGAAAUGGUAUUUUUAGUACCCUAGCAUGCUAUCUAGAUGGAUUGAACCCAAAUCAUAGAUCGAUUCGGUGGAUUUGGUAGUAUUGGCAUCUAGGGCAUCCAAAAUGGGGUUUUGUGAUUUGGGAGGGUUUGAUCUCAUUUGACCCUUCGUAAACCUAAUUGAUAGGUAACGAAACGCGUUGGCGGAGUCGGUUCGGCAAUCCGACAAGCUGUUGCGAAAAUAUUGAAGAAACGGGCGCUCGGAGCUUCUUUUCCGCCUGGGAGGCCGAGGCGGCGUCCAUAAAUCGUGAGAUCGGGUCCCGAGCACCGUAGCAGCAAGGCGAAGAUCGCUAGCACUUAAAUCGGUGAAGCGGCGCGCUCGUGGGGAGCAACUCUGAGAUCGGGCCCAAAUGGGUGCCAAGUGCCGCGGGAGGCCAAUUGCAAGUGUCGACGAGCAAUCGGAAAGCUAACUAAGGUGGGUUGUGCUUACCGAAGCGACUAGGUCACCCUUUAUGUCUUAGCAAUGUAAUCUCAUAUUGAUGCAUGUGCAUGUAGACAAGACUAAAUGGUGCAUUAAUAAAUAUGCAUAAAGUAAAGGCUAAGUAAAGAAUGCAUACUAAUAAUAAUGCAUAAAUAGAAAUGCUAAAUAGAAUGCAUGGUGGGUAAAGAUGCAUAGAGUAAUUGCUAAGUAGAAAGCAUGAGAUAAUAACUCUAGUGUGAGUAAAGUUGGUUGGACAACUAGGUUGUCAGAUAGAUCGAGUGGCAUCUAACCUAGUGUUAAAAAACAUAGGUUAAACAAGUGAACCUAGAGUCGAACAAUCUAAGUGUAUGUGGCAUCGAACCUAGUAUUAGUAAACCUAGGUCAAACUAGUGAACCUAGAAAUGGACAUCUAGGCAAAGAGGACAAGAACCUUGUCACGCCCCGGGACCGGCGGAGGCCCUCCCAGUAGCGUGCCCAGACCUGCCAUAUGUCAACACAUAUAAGGCGUCUACAAUAAAAGCGGAAGUAAAAGCAAGUAAUAGAACAAAUAGAACAGUAACAACUAAUGAUAUCAGAGCGAGCAAAGUUCUACCAUAUAAACCAGAGUAAAGGAAAUAUACCAAGACGAAGAAAGUAAAACGUAAGGUGAUACAAAACUAACUCCUCAAAAGAAAUACCAAGAUCCAAAAGAAAGGUGGUCUCUAUACAAAUACAGGUACAACUCUCAACCUCUCACAAAAUAAAACAUCGAGAGGUAGACCUCCUAAACUCGUCUCUCGCUGAAGAGCUAACUCGAAGCGACGCCCUCCCCCCGGUCCCUAGCCUCUCCCGGCGUGGAAGGCUCUGAAAGAAAACAUAAAACAGAGGGCGUGAGAACUAUAAUUUAUAGUUCCCAGUGGGCAAUUACUGACCUCAGCUCAUUGCACCACUAGGCCC
rnacentral:lncRNA from 1 species